rnacentral:lncRNA from 1 species
AUAUAUAUAUAUAUAUAUAUAUAUAUAUAUAUAUAAUUAGAAAACGGUGAAAAACAUAGUUUAAGCAACACAUCGAUUAGACCACAUUUUAAAGCUUGUUUAUUGAUACAAUGCAAGAUAUAACAAAGCUAACAGCUGUUUCUAAUCAGAUUGCGAGAAUGUAUUCUAUAGAUAAUUGCGAAGAUAAAAUUCUUCAUCUUCAUAGGGUAUUCGAAUUAAGGCAACAUGUUUUCAUCAGAGUGAAAAACAAGAGCAUACAAUACAUACAAGGAAAAGAAAAGAAAAACAUGGUUUAGAUAAAUAGUCGAGAAGCCCAAAAUGUUAAGUGCGCAUAAUUAUUUACCAUCCGGGCUCAAAGACUGCAGAUGAGCGAGUGAACUAUUAAAGGACUAGGGAAUACUACAAAUCAUUAGCGGGAACGUGCAGUUAAGAGGGGGAGGGCGUCAGGUUUUUAAAAAAGAAAAUUAUCAAGAAGUUCCGUGUACGCCUGAAACAAAUAAAAGAAUAAAAGCAAAUGUAUAUAUAUAUAUAUAUAUAUAUAUAUAUAUAUAUAUAUAUAUAUAUUAUAAUUAACUAAUUAAUUAAUGAAGGAUAAAAACCAUUUAAUAAUUUUAUCAAGUAGCCAGCACGUGAAAACCAUUUAGGUAACUAUUUAUUACUGAUAUAUAAUUAUAUAGAUAUAGUUAUACCCUAGGGUGUAGAUAAAACUCACCAACACGCUAGAAAUAGACGCUAAUAGCUCUAUAAACCGCAUAUUAUUUUACUCCGUAAGCACGGGUUGAAAGCUGGCUAAUGAAUAACCUGAUUUAUACAUUGGCUCGCUUUCAACCUGUGCUAACGGAGUAAAAUAAUAUGUGGUAUAUAGAGCUAUUAGCUUCUAUUUCUAGCGUGUUGGUCGGGUUUAUCCACACCCUAGGCUAUAAUUAUAUAUCCUUAUAUACAUAAAUCGUAUAAUUUCGCACAGUUACAAGCUUCAUCUUUAUUUUCAAGGUGUUGAAUCAUGGAAUGGGGUCCUUUAAAGACAUGAAAUUUGUGUGGACUGUCCGAUAUAUCUUGUAGAUGAUACAAAAUAUAAGUUAGUGAGCUAAUUAUUCUCUUGAAACUGAAAACGAAGAGAACUAUCUCUUCGUAGAUAAACAUAGUUCAGGCUAUAGACAAGCACACAUGGAAUAACAAAGGCAUACAUAACAUUAUAUAUACAUAUCCAUCUAUCUGUCUAUCUGUCUAUCUAUCUGUCUAUCUAUCUGUCUAUCUAUCUGUCUAUCUAUCUAUCUAUCUAUCUAUCUAUCUAUCUAUCUAUCUAUCUAUCUAUCUAUCUAUCUAUUUAUCUAUCUAUAUAUAUCUAACGGAAACCGAGAUAGAUCUACACAAGCACACAAAUAUACACACGCGCGCGUGAACUCACACAAACUGAUUAAUAAUUGUAUGGAAAUAAACAGAAAUGUGUGUCUCAAUUACGGAAUUGUUAGGUGGUUACGAUAAAGACCACUCAAACAAUGAGCUCAACUGACAUAUGGAAUUUAUCCGGGAAAGAGGUACACAUUAUCUAUUGAUUGAAAGUAAGGGAUCAAAGGUAGAAUAAGAUAAAUGAUUCAGUAACAUAUAGACAUAUUUAAAAAUAUAAGUGUACAAAAAAUUUUAACAACUAAUGAAAGUCCUAAAGGAGAUAUAACAGUAUAAAAAAUAUGGCAUACACUUAUAUAAACAAAAAUGAUUUAUAUAUAUAUAUAUGUUUAUAUAAAGAAUAUAUUAGAAUUAUAAGAUGUAAUUAUAUAAAAAAAAACUGAAAAGUAUCAAUUUAGGUGUCAUAUUGCAUCAUAUCUUAUGCAUACUUGCAGAGAGAAGUUGUAAUAUAUACUUCGUGACUCAGAAUGUUAAACCAGUAUAUGGGAAGGUAAAUAGGAAUACAAAAUAUAAAACUUUAAUAAUAUAUAAAAUUUUAACAAUAUACGAUAAAAAUAAUAUAAAGGAUAAAAAUUUAGUAAGAAAAACAUACAAAAAUAAGAAAUCGAUUUAAUAAAUAAAAAAAUUAAAAAUAUAUAAAGGCAAGAGAUCAAAAUAAAAAAUAGAAAAAAAAAAAAAAGAUAAUAGGUAUAUAUAUAAUAAGGAUACUUUAAGGUAUUCCUACCAAAGUAGAUUCAGGUGCAAGUAAAUUAAGAUGAAGAUAUCAUUGGAUGCGGUUUUAUAAAUUAUAAUAUUACAGGUACUGUUGUAUGCAUGAUUGUACAGUGCAUAGAGGUGUAAGAUUUAUUCAAGGGAGGCUUACUAUCUCAUAACUCACUACAAAUAUACCUACUGUGGCUGAUAGGGUAGAAGUCAUAGGAAGGAAAGGACAGUGUAAUCACUGCAUAGGAUGGAAUCAGACUAAACAGACAGGGAUUACUACAGGGCAAUAUUAUGUAUAAUACAUCAUAUAACACAAUACAUAACAUGUAAUACAUAUAUAAUGUAAUACAAUAUAAUAUAGAAUAUCCUACAAUAGAGGGUAAGUUAAUUAAGGAUACGUCAUCCAAAGCUAAUUUCCACCAUCAAACCCAAAGUAUGAUGAGUAUAACCUUAUUUGCUCCGAAAAUAUUUAAAUGUGCGGGUGAUGCUAUGCAUUUACUAUUAAUUAGGUUGCUCUAGUCUCUGUACUUAAAAAUCUCAUAAAUUUCCAUAGAACAAAGCUCACAUUCAUAUCUACUAUCUCUAUAUGGUUGCACCAUCCGUACUAUAUGCCAUUCAAGGCUAAAUCUAUUCUCGCUUUCCUUAAGUUCCCAGAUCUUACUAGAUAAAGAAGUACUAUUAGCUUUAUAUAUAAGUCUAAAUGAUGAAAGAUAGUUCUUGAUACGCUUUUUGUAUUUAUCGAAUAAAACCACUAGUUUCAGUCAAGAUUGUAUAUUUGUAAACUACGUUUUGGACUAAACAGCGACCUAAUAACGGGCAAUAUGAUUUUACACUACAAUUACAACCGGUAGUAUUACAGCUAAUAUUUUUACUACUACUACUACUACUACUACUGUCAUUAUUAUUAAAAAUAUUAUUAUUACUGCUAUAAUUAUUAUCGGCAUUAUUACUACUGAUAUUAGUACUACUUCUAUCGAUUAUAGUAGCAUUUAAAUUAUUGCAGCAAUACCAGGUAUUGUGUCAGUAAUACCUAGGUUAGCAUAAACAUCAGCGUCACAGUUUAUAUUAUAUAUAUGUUAGAUAUAUUAGUUCUGCUGUUCUGGAUUCUUAUAUACCCACUAUUAUUAUCAUCAUCAUUAUUGACAAUAUUAGUAUUAUUAUUAAUUCCUCGUGCUAAUUCCUUCUAUUAAAACGUGCUAUGAUAGUACCGAGGGUAGAAUAUGAGAUUCUGAUUGUCUUACGAGAAAAUACUCUAUUAUACCUAUGGGAUGCUGGGAUCCGUUUAUCUAAAAGUGCCAUAAAUUUACUAUAUAUGUUGGUAGAUAUAGCCCAGUUAAAGGGAACAUUAUACUAGACUAUAUUACUCUUUCGAGACUUCUUAUAUUUGUGGGGGCGGAUUCUAUCUACUCUUCAUAUGUACUCCGAACCCACUGCUUCAUUAUUGAGUAUGGCUCCACUAUUGGUAUUUAUAUUAUCAUUAGAGGAUGACACAUUCUGCUCAAUCACAUUAUAAUAUAAACUAUUCUUCUUACCGACCAUAAGUUCUGUUUUUUUUUGUUGUUAUAUAUCUUAUUCUUUGAUUUAAUAGGAAUGCUAGAAGCUUUCCCAGUAGGUCUGUUUUCCCGACUAGGUGGGUUUCUGUUCCUCUUCUCCAUUAAAUUUUUCUCAUGAUUACCAGUAGGUUUUAGACUUUCCAAAUUAAGGAAGUAAGAAAGUAAGAUUCGAGGGAACAUCUAAUAAUGUUUAUUUAUGACCAACAGCCAGUUCUGAACAGCCAACUCGUAAUGCCCUUAUUCAUAAUAAACGUAGUCUACUAGCAUUAGAUCUUUGAUGUUGAUAAGGUGAUAGAUAAAAAGUUUUAAAAAAUUAGAAAUGAAUUACAAUUCCAUGACCCCCACUGUGAAUCAUUCCCGCCACUCUAAAGUUGUAAUUGUUUUUCUCUUAGAUUAUUUCUGCAGCAAUAAUGGCAACAUGGAAGUUUUAUAUCCCCUAACUCAGGUAAAAUAUUUCAGAAAAAUUAUAUUAAUAUAUCUAGUCUGUUGCAAAUCCAUAUAUUUUGCAACUGAAGAUGCCAUUCUAUUUAAAUUGAUGUAAUGCUUGUAUUAUUCAAUUAAAUACAGCAGGCUGGAGCGUAUUGCAUUAAUAACUGACAUCCUGUUAUUUAUUUGAUGUUAUAUACAUACAUACAUACAUACAUAUAUAUAUAUAUAUAUAUAUAUAUAUAUAUAUAUAUAUAUAUAUAUAUAUAUAUAUAUAUAUAUAUACAUGUAUAUAUAUGUAUUAUAUAUACAUACACACACACACCUAUGUAUAUAUAUAUAUAUAUAUAUUUAUAUUAGAGGUCACACACUAGGAAAAAACUUCUUCCCAAACAAGGUUAGUGACAUCCUCAUAGUAGAUUUCAUAAUAUUAAAAAAAACAUUUAAAAAAGUUUUUAAAAAAUCCCUGAACACUUCAAAAACUUUAUUAAGUAAUUCUCAUAGACUUUCAUAUAUAUAUAUAUAUAUGUGUGAAAGUCUAUGAGAAUUACUUAAUAAAGUUUUUGAAGUGUUCAGGGAAUAUAUAUAUAUAUAUAUAUAUAUAUAUAUAUACAUAUAUAUGUGGACACAAUGAGGAUAUUUAAAACACUUAUAGGGAUAUUUAUCCCCGAUACACUUGUUUAAUAUAUUAAAUUUUGAAGAGAUAUUUCUUCAAUGAAUAUAUUAUAUGAAAUAUCGUAAGAUAUCAAACAUUAUUGUCGAGUUAGAAAACAGAGAGAGCUAAUGGACACAAAUAAAAUUAUUAAUUGAUCAACCUAUUCACCAACAAUUGUUUCAUUUCACAAGCAAAAUUAAAAUUACAAAACAAAUAUAAUAUAUAUAAUUUUGCACAAUUGUACAAAGGACAAUAAGGCUUACAUUAAGAUACGUUUGGGAAACACAAACUAUAUAGAUUUGUUUACUAUGUAUAUGAAUACGUGUGUGUGUACGGAUGAGUUAUUAUUAUUUCUUUUGUUUCAAUUCAAUAAUAAUAAUAAUAAUAAUAAUAAUAAUAAUAAUAAUAAUAAUAAUAAUAAUAAUAGAAAGCAGCAUAUUCCCUAAUGAACAAAAAAGAUAUAAACGUGGAUCCUAUGGUUGUAAUGAUCAGCUACUCAUCAAUAAGAUGAUCUUAGAAGAUCGUCACAAACGACACAAAAACUUGUCAAUAGCCUGUAAGAAAUGCCUCGAAAUGUAUAAGAUAGUACCUACUCUGCUAAACUUUUUGUCUGUAUGAGAUCAUGGAGAACCACACUAAAUUUGAACAAUGACAAUGAAUCUCUAAAUGCUGGAGAUGUAAAAAUUUCAUGUGGCAUUUUCCAGGGUGACUCUCUAUCACCACUCCUCUUUUGUUUAGCCUUAAUACCUCUCUCAAAUUGCUCAAUGAUGCACAGUACGGUUGUAAAAUGUUUGAUAAAAAUAUAAAUCAUCUCAUUUACAUGGAUGAUUUAACGCUCUUUGCAAAAAAUGACCAACAACUACAGGGCUUACUAGCCAUUGUUAAACAAUUCAGUGAUGACAUCAGAAUGCAAUUUGGCCUCGAUGAAUGUGCAAAAGCUACCUUUAUCAAAGGAAAAAUGACAGAAACAUCUAACGUUAACCUUGACCAGCAGAAUGUCAUAAAGGAGUUAGACCCAGCGGAGAGCUACAAAUACCUAGGGGUAAUUGAAGGGGACGGAAUAAGGCAUUCAGUGAUGAAGGAAAGGAUCAGGAGAGAAUGUUAUCGCAUAGUAAGAGUAAUACUCAAGACAGAGCUGAAUGCGAGAAACAGGAUCGAAGCGAUCAAUGCAUUAGCCAUACCAGUCGUGAUUUACAGUUUCAAUAUCGUUAACUGGUCAAUUACUGAAAUAUUUAAUCUUGACAGAAAAAUACGAAAACUGUUGACAAUGCAUAGAAUGCACCACUCUAAGGUAGAUAUAGAACGAAUUUAACUGCCAAGAAAAGAGGGAGAUCGUGGACUUUUACAAAAGGCAUUAACAUUGAUUAUUGUCACAAUUGGCCUAGACACCUACCUGAAAAUCUCUGAGGACUGGCUGUUAAAACUUGUCUCAAAACAUGAAAACAAGAAAGCACCAUACUCAAUAACAAAACAGGCAAAGGAAUAUCUAAAUGAAUUCCGAAUACAACAAAUUUCAGAAUUAGACAUACAAGAAACAGGCACAGAAAAAACUAAGCAUAUGAAAACCCGUGCUAAAACUGCUGCCUUAGAUAUUCUGACUGACAAAUGGCAAGAAAAACCUCUCAAUGGCAAAUAUCCAAAGAGAGCGAAUAAUGCCGAUGUUGACAAAGCCCUGGCCCGUCAAUGGCUAAUGGCCUCUGGCUUAAAAUCUGAAACAGAAGGGUUUAUCAUAGCAGCUCAAGAUCAAUACCUACCAACAAGGAACUACCAGGCCAACAUAAUACAGAACGGCAGUAGCCCAACAUGUGUUUGUCAACAACAAAAUGAAACCAUUGAUCAUGUUGUCUCCAAGUGCAGUCUUCUUGUGCCUACAGAGUAUCUCAGCAGAUAUGAUAGAGCUGUACAAUAUAUUCACUGGGUAAUAUGCAGGGAACACAAAUCACCUCCAGUGCUUGAAAAAGACCACAUCUCACUCCUCUGGAACUUUACCAUUCAAACUGACAAAAAGAUAGAUGCGAAUAGGCCAGACAUCAUAUUGAAAGACGUCAGACAAAAAUCAUGCCUCCUCAUUGAUAUGACUGUCCCAAUCGAUAUAAACGUUCCUGUCAAGACCUACCAAACACUGAGCAAAUAUAAAGAUCUUGAAAUAGAAAUUAGCAAAAUGUGGAACCUAAAGACUAAAACAACUGUUGUCAUAAGUGCUCUGGGAAUGAUAGUAAAAGGGGCUGAUUGCUACCUAACUCAGAUACCAGGAAACCCAAAAAUGGCAGAAAUUCAAAAGAUUGUGCUCAUAGGAACUGCUUAUAUCCUACGCAAAUUACUUUCUAUGUAAUCUCAAGUUUUAAAACAAACAUAAUUUUCGUAUGGUUUUUUUAGACAUUCAUUAGUACAACACUAAGUACAAAACCAAAUAUAUGGCACCCUAGGCAUAACACCAAUAUGAACUUCCAAUUUGCUGUCUCUUUAGAUCUCUGGGUCAGACUUGGAGUUAACUUGUAUAAAUGUAAAGCAAAAGUCAAACAUAGAAUAAUAAUAAUAAUGAGUAGACUAUAAUAACUGUUAUGAUUUAAUUAUCCAUAGUCGGAUAUAAUAAUAUUUCGGAAUAUAAAAAUUCAUUCUUCAGAUAUCGCUAGGAACUGAUCGAGUCACUGGGAUGAAUGUAUAUUCAAUAUUGGGAGAUGACUUUUUCUCCAAGUUUGUUAUUCAUUACAACACGAAUAACUCUGUCAAGGAUAUUAUGCUGACAACCAAUAAAUUGCAGUUCUUUCAAACCCUUUGGUGCAACUGAAUGACAAUGUCAUUUCUUUUCCCAAUAUUCAAACCCGUAUCAGAGACAAUCAUCUUUACACAAUUCCAUAAAUUGUAUUCAUGUAAACAGCUGUUAUUGCUUUCACAACAGUAUCGGCUUUUUCCUUUGGUAAUUGGAGUGCUUCUAACUUAACUUCACUGUGUUCACUCUUUAAAACUAGCUCAUGGCUUUCUUGGUCAUCAAUACGUUUAGCACCAAAAUGCAAUGACCAAUUUUCUAAAUGUAGCGAUUUCUUCAUUUUCUUUUUUAGUUUAACAGCUUUGAUAUUCGAUCUGUAAAUACCAGAUUGUGAAUGAGUCUCGACAUUGAUUCUAUCUUCAGAUAACUGUCGACAACUGUUGCUGUUUUUUGGGUUGAUAGCUUGGAAGUUAUUACUAACUUGGUUGCAGUUCCAGUUUUGCUAUACUUUCUCUUUGUUUGUGUGGAUUCUUCAUCUGAUUUUCGGACGCUUGAUUUUCACUUUCAGUCUCUGCUUCAGAUGUUGACGAUGACACUUGAGUUACUCUGGUUGAAGUUGACAUUAAGGACACUUUUCUUCUUUUGGAUGGAUGGAUAGUUUUGGAACUGACUACCUUUCCAUUAGCAUGCCCAACCUGUCUCUUGCUUUCAAUUUGAAGAUAAUAUAAUCUUCUAUCCUCAUUGCACAGCCAUUCACCGCUUUCCUUUGUGAUGUCAAUAAUUCCUUUCAAUGAAUCGUAUUUUCCUUGUUUUACACAUUUAUCGUAGGUAUUCAGCAGUUUUUCUACUUUUGCUUGUACAUUUUGAAUUGAUAGAUAUGGGAAAUUUAAUUUCCCCUGGCAUAAAAAAGUUGCUUUUUUCGAAAUUUCCUUUGUUCUUUCUUUCUUUCCGUUGAAGGAACGGGUAGCGACCGACAAUUCGAAGUUUCAUUGGUAUCCUGCAGUUUCCAAAGAAUGCUCUUCUAAAGAAACAGGUCUUUUUUCCUAUGUGAGUCUCGAAAUUGCACGAGAUUCUUCAUCCAGAUUUUUUUGUUUCUUUGAUUGACACAAGCACUUCGCUUAUGAAACAUUAUUUCAUAUACUCUAGUUGGAUAAGCCUACUGUUCUGAAAAACAGUUAAUAUAGUCAGAAUUCUUAAUGUCACAGAAAUGAAAAGGAGAGGAUACUUCCUAAAGUAGGGCCUAGGUGAUAACAAAUUAAAAACUCUAUUACUCCUAAACUACUUAAACUUGAAAGCUGAAAUUUGAGAUAUACUGCUUCUGCAUUGAUUUAAGCCAGCACACCAAGUUUAGUAAAAACGUGAGUGGGCAUUAUGAACGCCUCGCUAGAAUUUUGCAUGAUUUGGGUCAAAAUUGAUGGUAGAUUUCUUGAGUUAGGAGUGAUGUUUUUUUAUAAAAAAACUGAAAAUAUACAUACAUACAUACAUAUAUAUAUAUAUAUAUAUAUAUAUAUAUAUAUAUAUAUAUAUAUAUAUAUAUAUACAUAUAUAUUAUAUAUAUACGUAUAUAUAUAUAUAUAUAUAUAUAUAUAUAUAUAUAUAUACGUAUAUAUACGUAUAUAUACAUACUGUGAAAAUUAUAAGGGUAGAAAAUAUUGAAAAUUUUUUAUACCGGUUGUUAUCAUGCAUAGUAAAUAUCAAUAGACAACAUAUUUUAAUAUAUAAAAGUAUUCCUACACAGAGGCGACCCUUUACAGAACGCCCUCUCUAGCAUGUAAGGCGUCCUGUAAAGGGUCGCCUCUCUGUGUAUAAAUACUGAACACUUUUAUAUAUACGUGUAUAUAUAUAUAUAUAUAUAUAUCAGAAGACACCACACCAACGUAAACUUAGGAAAAUGUUUCAUGAGUUGGAAAAGGCCCAGGGAAUAAUCGUACUAGGUGACAAAACCGGUAAUGUUUAUAUUGUUGACUUUAACCUCUAUAUAACAAUCUUAUACGUCAUGAACUAUGCGGUAAAUACAGACACGCACAAGCAGAUACACUCAGCAUAAUAAAUAGAAAGGGAUUAGUAAUAGUAAAUAACUUAAAUAUACACGAUAGAACCGAACCUUAUGCACCACGCAAACCUCGAAUACAACCAAGAAAUCACAAACCAAACUUCCGUAUUGCCCUAUCUGUUAGAUUAAUCUGUACCUCAAAAUCCGAAAUUGAGAGGAAACUUGUUAGAUUUUGAUAAUAAUUUAUGGAACAGAUCUCAUACUCCAAAUGCGUUUGGCAUAGCUAUGGAAUCAUUUGAUUCUGCAGAAGUAACUGGCCUUGUAGGAAUUUACAUUCUAUCCCAGAUACAAUUAUAUAUUCUUGGAUUGAAUGGAGGGAUAUAUAGAGAUGACGCAUUAUUAUCCCUACACAAAUGUAGCAAAGUACAUCACGAAAAGUACAAAAGAAUCUCUAUUUAAGUUUUUUUAAAAUAGUGGAGUCUCCAUCACUAUAAUCAAUGAAUACGAUAGAGUCAACUUUUUAGAUGCUACUUUUGAUUUGGAUACUGGUCUACAUGAACCAUUUCAUAAACCUAAUGAAAACCUAACACAUUAGAAACAACCAUGAGUUAGAGAAAACUUGUAAUAGACAACAAAUCUAAGACCUAGCGCCACAAAAUCCAAUAGCCAUUCCAAGUACCCAGACAAAUAGACCUAACCGAAAAUAUAAAAAAACAAUUAAGUCCUUUGGUAUAACCCAAUCUGAAACUCCAACAUCUCAUCUAAGAUUGCGAAACAAUUUUUCACCGCACUUGGUCGCUGCUUCCCAAAAAUGGAAUAUACGGCAAAAUAUUCAACCGUCACACUAUAAAACUAUCCUAUGCAAAUUCAUCAAACUUAAUGUACCAUAUUCAUACAACCGUAAACUCAAGCGGUACGUAAGUCGACUCAAGAAAUCUCUAGUAAGACUUUUUAUUGAUGUACCGGAAGACACCCAGAAUGGUUCGAAACAUGUGUUGUACUCAAUAAAGUCUAUUACACAUUCCAUCACCUAUUUUAUUAAUACUGUUACCCCAACCGCCACUAUGGAGUUGCUACAUUAAAUCUACGGAUAACAACAGGUAAUCGAAACUGUGCCGGUGCUUUACUCAUCAUUGUUUAUACAUUUUGUACAGUUUCUCCAUUUUAUAUAUAGAUCAUACUGUAUGGCGAACUAUCUUCUGGUCUGCGCUAACCGUGAAGCCUGGCAUUUUAAAGUCCACCAAGCAAGACCUUCCUUUGAAGACACCUGCGAGACCAUUGUUGCAGACGUGAGAGAGAGGGGAGAGAGGGGGAGAGAGAGGAGAAAAACAAAGACACUGCAACAAACUCUGAUCACCCCCCUCUCCCAUAGUGACUGUUUUUUUCAUUACAAACAAGGGGCGCACACAGACGGGGCAAUACAUGACAUGUACAUAACAGCUAAAAAUUAAAAAUAUAACUAUGAAUGACAAUGAAAAUGAUAAAUGAAAAUGUGCCACCUACCAAACCUCAACAGCAUCAUGUUUAUCCCAUAUCUCUGUUCCAGUUCCUCAUUCUUGCACCGUCCGCCACCUCCUGUAUUACCACCUUCCUAUAUUUAAUACCUUCGUGAUACUCCCCUAUCUCUCUUAACCGACAUUCCGGCACUAACACGCUUGUGACUAUGCUAUCCUUUUCUUUUUCUUUCAUAUUUAUAAACUUCGUGUCCUUCCAUCUUGUUAAUUUUUCAACCAAUUCCAUGUUUACUGCUUUGACUAAAAUUCAAGCAUAACAAGUGAGAGGUGAGGUUUGUGUUUUUUUGUGCUUCUUUUUUUUUCUUUGUUGUGUCGGUGGGGAAUGGGUAGGAUUGGUGUCUGCGGGUAGAUGGUUGGGGUUGAGAAGAUAUGGGUGGGAUGGAUACGGGUUGGGUUUCAUAUUGACUUUCCUUCUUCCUCUUCCUUCUUCCUUCAGCUACCUUCCAUGUUUCAUCCUCGUUCGUUUCUAUCCUUUUAUCACCAUACACACAUUAUAUACAUACACACACACACACAUAUAUUUAUGUAUAUAUAUAUGUGUGUGUGUAUGUGUAUAUACAUACAUACAUAUAUAUAUAUGUAUAUAUAUAUAUAUAUAUAUAUAUAUAUAUAUAUAUGUAUAUAUAUACAUAUAUAUAUAUAUAUGUAUUGAUAUACAGUAUCAUUUAUUUAGAUAGAGAAUAUGAGAGUAAUAUCAGAAAAUAUAAAAUGAGGACCUAAAUUAUUAACUUACUGUUCAUAUUUAAACUUCUGAAAAUAUAUUUUCCUGAGCAAUAUAUGCCCCAUGCUUAUUCUCAUCAUUUCAUAUGGAUUAUCAUUUAUUUAGAAGCCGCCAAGAAAAUUCACUUUGCAUAAAGCGAAAUAGAUAGAAAUAGACAACAGUUUCUAUUGAGUAAAAAGGCUAUUAAAAGCAUUCAUCAAUCAUCAACGCGCUAUCAGAUCUAAUGUGUAUGACAUCGGAUCCGUUGCCUUAAUGUCUCAAACCCUACUGUUUAGUUGUGAUAUUUUUUUUUAUCGUAGGCGUUUUGUAUUAGUUUAUUAUAAUUAUCAUAAUUCAUUCUAAAAUCAUAACUAUGCCCAAUUAAUUCAAGAUCAGCCUAUUUAAGAAAUACUUACACAAACAUUAGAAUUCUAUUAUUAAGCAGUUCUUUAAAUCUUCUACGCUUUAUAAAUUUCAAUCCAUCAAAUAUGUCUCUAAUCUUUCUGUGUGGCCUUACUGCUGAUCUUCAUAAUUUAUUCACACACGAACAUCUAUGAAUAAUUACUGCUAAUUCCAGCUAUUUUAUCCUAUAUUGUUGUAUUUGAUGUUAACUGGGCACAAACAAACAAAAAGUUUUUUUUAAUGCUCAUAGCCGACCUUAACAAGACAAUAUAACUGAAAAGAUUUCUAAUUAAAAGAAUAAUAGAAAAUAGUGAAUUAUAAUGGCUGUAUGUAUGUAUAUAUAUAUAUAUAUAUAUAUAUAUAUAUAUAUAUAUAUAUAUGUGUGUGUGUGUGUGUGUGUGUAUUCUAAUACCGUUGUAACUGAAAGAUAAUCUGUGAUUUAACUGCGAUUAUUGCUAUAACUGUCGCUGCAGAAGUUAUUUUCGCAAGGAAGAAAAUGAAUUGUCAAUGUUCUAACCUGAACUAUACAGCUGUGGCUGCAGAACUCUUUUCUAGCUUUGUUAUCUCUUACACUCACUCUGUAAUCACUUCUCUCUCACUGUUUUAUUUAGAAACUUACUCUCCCAUCUAUUUCCAGCUAAGUUUGAGGUGCGAAUUUCCUACAUUUAAAGUAAAAUAUAUAUUGAUAUACUGAAGUAGCCUUUGUUUUAUAUAAAACGGCGUAAUUUAUUUGAUGUUUCUAUAAAGAAAGAUGGCAAUCUGAAUACGGUCCUCAAUUAUGUCAGGGUUUGACAACUUUUACCUCCGAAAAAUUGUUUUGUCUUCUAUUUACUAAGUUUAAACACCACGAAUUCGAUUUUGGAAUAUACCUUUGCUAGUUGCUUUCUAAUCAGUUGACUGUAUCGCAAUCCAAUGCAAUGUGCUUAGUUUUUAGCAAAAAUAAAUCAAUUCCACAUUCACCCUGAAAGUAAACCAUAUCCCAAAAUUUAAUGAAAGCUCAAGAUAUCCAGAAAGAUAGGAAUGAAAAUGUGACGAAAUAUUGUGAGGAAUAGUGGCAGGGUUACUAAGUGUUGGAUUUCAUAUACUUUUAUACGUCUUGCAAUGUUCCCUUGAAAAUAGCACUUAAUUUUGCUUAAUCUUUUGACAAUGUGGUGCCAAAAAUAUUACUGGACAUUCUUUCAGACGCAUUUUUGGGCCAUGGUCAAAUUAUAAUGUUAGGUGAGUAAGAAAAUCAUGUGGCAUUUCAAGAUAGGGGAAAAAAAAGAAACAAAUGUUUCUAUGCUUUGCUAUAUCUAAUGAAGAUAUUUCCUCUCAUCAUUGAUAACAUAGUCCCAUCUAUCUGGCAAAUUGUUGGUCCCUUGAACGUAAAAAUGUUCAGGUUCCGAACCAAAGAAGCACUCAAUAUAAUUUUUAACCUCUUCACAAUUAAUAAGGUUGCAAUGAGCUACGAAGAUGAUAGUCGAUGGGUGAGGUCAGAUGAGUGCCAUAAUUAAUCUUUAUCGGAGUGAAGUGGGCAAUAUGUGGGCUUGCAUUAUUGUGUUUCCGCUACAACCUUUUACGACUGACGAAUGAUGGGUUCUUUUCCUGCAGAUUUUUAUGCAUUGUUUCUAAUUGACAGCAAUACUUACCCAUAUUAAUUUUUUCGCUUUGAUUUAACACUUCAUGACAAGCGACAUUCUUAGGUGCUAACAAUUGUAUCCGUUGGGUAUGAUUUUAGAGAACUCAUUUUUAAACACUAGUAAUGUUUCUACUUAGAAAAGUUUCGGUAGCAAGUGUACUCUUCAAUGAUUAGUAGAAGACAACUCUUUGAUUAAAAUUAAAAGCAGAUGGUGAGGGAUCCACUGCUCAAAUUUAGACACAUCUCAUAGUUCAUGAAGUUGCUCGAUGAUGAAAUCAUGACUUGAGUUGAAAUGUUUUGCUCACUCUCUUGCAGUUUACUUUAGGUUUUCCUCAAUUUUGGUUUUAGGUGCCUAAUAUAGUCGUUCAGAUCGAGGGAAAUCUGGGAGAAAAAGAUUUCUCGAGCGAAACUGGCCAAACCAUUGUUCACAUAACUGAACAGUUAAAGCUUCAAUUUUAUAGACAACGAAGAUUUUUAGUCGCUUCUAUUACUGAAGACCCAUUUUUAAAAUUCAUACAACAUGCAGUGUCUGUUAUAGGUCUGAUACAAACUUAUUUUAGAAGGGUGAAAUCGAUACGAACUUAACCACUAUGGCAUAAAAUAAUCAGCAAAAACAGAAAAAAAAUAUUAAAAUGUAAAAUUUAAUGAUUUCUUAUACUGCAAUUCACGGAAAAGCGCCCCCUCCCAACUGAUCAUAAAAAAAGGCGACGGAAUUUUUUCUACCUAAUAUAAAAUUGUCAUAAGAAACCCAGCUAGUUUCUAGCAUGAACAGGCAUACAUCUUACAGAUGAAGGUCACAGCUUCUAUAUUAUCGAAAUACUUGAUAUUCAGCUGAUAACUUUUAUAUAUGUAUGCAAUCGAAAUAUUACAUUUUAUAAUCAUGUGUUGAGUAAGGAUAAUGAAUAACAUCUAACUAAAAUUGCUGAAAUAUGGGUCAGUAAUUCCAUACAAAAAAGAAACAUAAUAGAUGCUUAUGAUAAACUAUAUGCUGUAGUGGGUACAGUAGUGAAGUUAGAUUUUAAUGAUUUAAUGAUUAGAUAUAGUGAAAAAGUACCGUUAAUUUACAGACUCACUCUGAGCAAUGAUCAAAUCUCUUCUACAAUUAUAUUCUAUCACGCUGUGUCUAUAGCAAUUAAUAAGUGUUACUAAUCUCAAAGGAUCCACUGUAAAUAAAUUCAAAGUUAGUGGUUAUUAACAUGUAGGGAGGUUUAUCGGGAUAACCUGUCGUUACAAUAGUUUUUUUAAAUAUAAUAUGGACAAUUAAAAUGUAUAUCUUAUGUGUAAGGACAACUAAUUAAUUCAUUGAACAUAAGUGCAUCACGACUCAUCUGCUGUAUCAAGGGGCAACUAAGUUUAUCCUAUGACAAUUGCUCCAGUUUAGGCAUAAGGACAGCAAUUUUCGAGCCAAUCAAUCACAUCGACUCUCGGAGAGAUAAAAGGUAAAAUUCACCCCGGUUGUAAAUGAUCUCAGAAUGUAAAGAGCUAGAACAAAAACCACAAGACAUUUUAUUCGACACUUCACUGAUUAUGGCAGUCCACCGUCCAAUAUUUGUUCUUGAACUACACUGCUAUUUUCUGUCACCAUUCUCAAGUCAACAUAAUGUUGAUGUGGAAAAUAUGCCCUGCGCUGUUGAAGAGAUAACUUGUAGGUUUAUAAGGAAAGAGCCAUGAGCUUUCGGUAAGAAUAAUGAAAAGAAAAAGUUGUUCCCCAUAUACAAUCGAGGAUGAAAUUUUAAGCUAGAUAUUGGAAACAGUCAAAACGUGAGACGAGUGCAAUAUUGUAUCAAUAGAGUAAAUCAAAGAGGAAAACGAAAAGAAAAUCUAUUAAAUAAAUGUAUUUCAAACGUAUAAGUCUCCUGAAAGAGAAUCUGGUAAACUGCUUGGCAUUACUAGUUUCUCUGGACACUUUUCUUAAUGGACAAUUACCGUCCAAUAUCAACAGAAGGGAAAUUAGACGAAACCUAGCUGGAAUAUCCUAUCAUUUAUAUACAUUUCUAUAAGUUAUAUUUCUUGAAUAUAAUUAGUUACUCAAACUAUCAUCGUUAUGACAUUUUAUAAAUUGAGAUAUAGUUUUAAUGUAAGUUGCUGUUUAUGAUUCUAUAUUUAGAUUGUCAUGUUAUAAUUCACGGAAUGCAAGACAAUUUACUUUUCUGACAUUAUACAUAGAAAGCACACAACAAUACUCAAGAAAAUGAUUCAUAUAAAUUGCUUUUAGCAAGGUUUUUUUUAUACCUAUUCUUAUUUCCUGUGCUUGAUACAAAUGUUAGGUUGAUGAGACAUGUGAGAGAUGUAAUCAAAUAAAAGCCGUUAAAAAAACCCAGUUGUUUAAGAACAUAGUUUUCUUAUGCAGAUUAUAAGGUUUUCAUUAGUUGACCCCCCAUCCCAUAACAAAUUCCUUAUCUCAUGCAAUACUACAUUUGUGUCAUUAAUUUUCAUGUAUUUCACACCAUAUUCUUUAAGUAAGAUAAUUGGUUCAAAUAUUUUUGCAUAAUGUUUAUAAAAUAAUGAUGGAAUUUUUUUUCCAUUAAACCGUCUCAUGUGUCGCUCAACCUGAUACACCGAAGAGCUUUUCUAAUGCCAUAUUUCCUUUUAUCUACCGUACAAAAGUGUCUUAAUCUACAGCGUAUAAUUAGAUAAUUUUUUUUUAUUCUUGAAUGCUGACAGAGAAUUAACUCUGAGCAAACACUAAAACAAAAUAUAAUACUUGUUUACUAUUAUACUUUAAAAAUAUAAUUUUGCUCUAACCAUUAAAUAUUAACGUGUUUUAGUUUACAAAUUGUAACGUGCUAUUUCUACAAUUAAGGAAGGUCAUUCUGUAACACAGCUUCGAAUCCUUUCACUUAUGAUUGUAGGUCUCUAGGGAAGACAUUAAUUUGCUCCUUUAAGUACGUUUGCAUUUUAAUUCAUAAUGAAAGUACUGUACAAUAAAUUGGACAGCUGGACCCGGUUCAAACAGUUCAAAAAUCUUUACUAUUUUGCAUUCAAUACCCAUUGUGUUAACAUUGCUGUUCCUCCUACCGGAAGAAUUAACAUUUUUGAAUAGAAGUCUCGAUAUGAGAUUAAUAUUUGAUAUUGGAUACUGUAAGUUCUCAUCUCUCAGGUGAUUCACUAUAUAUAUAUGUGUGUGUGUGUAUAUAUAGUGCGUCAUAUAUAUAUAUAUAUAUAUAUAUAUAUAUAUAUAUGUAUGUAUAAUUAUUUAACAUGCAUUAAUUACAUUAGUCAACCAGGAGUUUGUCCCAAGAAAAAUUAUACCAGUAUCUUAUAUGUUUUUGCAUGCAGAAUUAAAAAAAUAACAUCAAAUUAUCUGUACCACUAACAGUUUCUAUGUUCCAUAAUAUCCCUCUCAGUUCCUGUUACGUGGGCUAAAUUUCAGUUAAACUGUUGAAAUGUGAAAAUAACAGUUUAAGAAAUGCUCCUAAUUUAAAUGUUUAUGAAUAGAAUUAACCUAAUGAAAUCAUAUAUCUAGCUAUAUGAGUCAAUGAGUCACCGAAGCUUGGCAACAUUGAGUCGAUGAGCCACCGAUGCUUUAUCAGUGCUGUGUUUGAAGUGUAAGCGUGCGAUUGUGUUCAUCUUCAUAAUGCCAAGAAACUGUAAUAACAUCGCAAAUAAUUUUUUAUAUAUUUGCGGUGACUUAACAUUAAAACCACAAAGACGGCGUUUCACACCAUUGGUUAAAAAGUGCUAUGAGCAUUAUUUUGACUGCAAAGUGGGUGACCAGGAUGAAAUCUGGGCUCCUCAUGUGUGUUGUGUAACCUGUGUCAGGCCUCUCACUGCCCUCCCUGUGAUUUGGAGAGAGAUUGCUACUAGGUAUAACAUCAAAAUCCAAGCAUAUUGUAAAAUAUCCUAAUUUACAAUCUACUAUGACACCAGUAUUUCACAGUCAACACUUACUUGUACCUGACCCUCGAAAACAAAUGACACUUACUGACAACGACUCAAGUGAUGAAGAUGUGGAGAAAGAAACAGAAGACAUGGACUUUGUGAGCCUAACUGUUCUUCAAGUGAACCACAUUUCUUGAGUCAAGGAGAGCUGCUUUAUCUUGUGCGGGAUUUAAACUUGUCGAAAAAGCAAGCUGAACUUCUUGGUUCCAGGUUAAAGGGAUAGUAUCUUCUCCAGAAAGAGACCAAAAUAAGUUUUCUGCUGUUCCUCUGGUCCAUGCAGCUAACAUGAAGGAAAUAUGUGAGAGUAUGAAAUUUCUGAUGGAAAAAAUUAAGUAUGAUGAACAUAAGUGCAGUAUUUGUGGUGACCUAAAAGUUGUGGUACUUUUACUUGGAAUGCAUCUGGGUGAGUGGGAUAGUCGGAAUAAGAAAAAUCAUUAUGAAAAGAAAUGUGUGGCCGAAACGAUCUCUGACCCCUGGGCAGAAUGUCAUCAAUUCUCCUCUUGCAGAUUCUUAGGAAAUUUAUCUGCCUACUUUGCAUAUUACGUUAGGGUUGAGGAAGAACUUCGACUAAGGCAUGGACAGAACUAGCAAGGGAUUAACGUAUUUGAAAACAAAAUUUCCAAGUGUAAGUGAAGCAAAAAUCAAGGAAGGUAUUUUUGUUGGGCCACAGAUUAGGGAGCUGAUGAGAGACCGAAAGUUUGAUGAAGAGUUCAUUGAUGCUGAAAAAGCUGUGUAGCUGUCAUUUAAGAAAGUUUGUAGAGAGUUUUUUUUAGGGAAUCACAGAACUGUUCAGACAUUAUGAAAGAGUUACUGACAUUAUACAAGGUCUUGGGAUGCAACAUAAGCUUAAGAAUCCACUUCUUGAACUCUCACUUAGACUUCUUUUCCCCUGCAAAUCUUGGGGCUGUCAGUGACGAGCACGACGAGAGGUUUCAUAAGGAUAUUCUGAACAUGAAAACCCGGUACUAAGAGAAGUGGAGCUCUUUUAUAUUGGCUGGUUAUUUGUUGGUCACUAAAAAGGCACGUCUCAGAAGCUAAAUACAGUCGAAAAUCAUACGCCUCUACGUCUUAAAGGUAAGUUUCUUCGUAAUAUUAGCCUGAUUUUUGAAUUCCUGAAAUAUAAUUGUUUAACAAUUUACAUAUUCUCUCAGAGAAAAACUAUGACUUAUGGAAAAAAUCUGAAACACACACUUGAAUUCUGUAGAUAAAAUGCUAUUGAGUUCACCUACUUUUGUUUGUGGGACAGUAUUUUUCAUUUAUUCUGUUGACCAAUUAUAAUUGUCAGCCUUAUUUCUGCAUUAAUAUAGUACAUUUAUUAUACGACGGGCUUAUUUCAGUUACAGUCUACCAAAUCCACUCACAAGGCUUUGGUCGACCCGAUGUUAUUGUAGAAGACAUUUGCCCAAGGUGUCACGCAGUGGGACUGAAUCUGGAACCAUGUGGUUGGUACGAGUAAGCAAGUUUCUUACCACACAGCCAAUCCUGCUAUUUAUAUUAACUUUAUAUAUACACAUUAGCGAAUCGGUAAAUCAUCCAAUAAUGUGGAUGACGUAAGGAUAAAUACUUAAUCCGACAAGUCUCAUGUCCUCAGUCUUCACCUGGGGUACCACCCAGGUCAAAGGAUAGUUUCUUUCUCUUUAAGGACCAUGAAGGUAUCAUGAAACGCUUGACCGAGUACUUCACAAACCUCUUUGAUAAUCCUCCAGUUAUUCGUGAAAAUGUCAUCAAUAAUCUGCCCCUAAAAGAUAUUGUCCUUGAGAUGUGGGACCUUUCCACUAGAGAAGAGAUAAAAAAGAAAAAAAAAACAUUAAAGCAAUUAAUACUACGAAGGUCCCGGGUUUUGCCAAUAUUCUCAUUGAAGUUCCUUUCUACAGAGAUGGCAAGCUUGCUUGAGGAGAUCCAUCAUCUAAUAUCAGACGUCUAAUCGGGUGCUCCUGCCACGCAAGACUGGGUUGACGCUAUUCUAAUUUCAGAGUUCAAAGGAAAAGGAUCCAAAUUCGUGUUCGGAAAUUACAAAGGUAUAAGCCUCAUCGAAGAAGCUGGGGUAAUGCAUCGAACAUCGCAUAGCUCUAAACCAGGGUUUUGUCGAUUCAACAAAAGCCUACCACACUGUUAGUAGAACCACUUCUGGAUUAUUCAUAGUAAACUUCGAUGUCGUCCUGAAUUCAUCGGCAACUCCAUAGUGAUAUGAAACGUCAUUUUAACAACAGCGGUUCACUCUUGGAGCCAAUUUCCAUCGAUAACAGGGUUAAAUAAUGUGAUAUCUCUGCUCCAAAAUAUUUUCGAUGUGCAUUGUCUACUAUAGAUCCGGGCCGACCUGAGCAUUGGAUGGAUUUGGUAGACGGAAACUGACAGGAGCCCGUUGUACAUACAUACAUACAUACAUACAUACAUACAUACAUACAUACAUACAUACAUACAUACAUACUUACAUACAUACAUACAUACAUAUACUGAUAUAUGUGUGUGUGUGUGUGAGGGAGAGAGUAAGAAAGAAAGAAAAAGAAAAAGAGAGAAAGAAAGAAAGUAAAGGAAAGAGAGAGAGAGAGAAAGGAUGAGAAACAAUAAGAGAAAGUCUGAGUGCGUGUGUGUGCGCGCGCACGUGUGUUUGUGUAAAACGAAAUACAAUAUGCAGAGAGUUUGGGUAACUAUUCACCAUGCAUUACAUUUAACGCUCUGUCUCUGCUUAUUCACAUUUUAGUUGAUGCUGUAAUUCAGCGCUAUAGACAGCUUUUGAGGUGAAGGUUUAUCUUUUCGUGAUUCCUAUCCGCAGAAAUAAGAUAUAAACAUUCACGAAAUGCGCAGUAAUGGAAAGAGUCAUUGCCACAUACACGUGUGUACCCAUAAAUAUUCAAUUUCACUUGAAAAUUUAUUUGGAGAGUUAGAUGUUUUGCCAUGCAUCUUGGAUUUUGAAAAUUACUUUUCAUAAGGUUGCUACCUUAGGAAAGAUGAUUUUAAAAUAUAAAAUCCUGUAUUUUUUCUAUAUUAUUAAGCGCAAUAUUUAUUUGCGAUCCAAUAUACCAAGUAUUCAGCCAAUUUUCUCAUGUGUUUUACUAUUCUCGUAAUUGUUUGAAGGUCUUUCUUUCAACAUAAGGAAUUGCAUUAAGUUUGCUAUAUCUUUCUGCAGAAGACGUAAUGUUAUGAAUGGCAGCCUUUCUCCUAUAUUUUAUUUGCCCAUACCAUUUAUUUAUUUCCAUUUCUACACGAUCUUUCAGCUCUCUCAUAUAUGUUCUCUUUUUCUGUCUUCCUAGUUUUCAUUUAGUUUUAAGGUCUAUAUCCUCACGCUCAUUUAUAUUUUUAUCGUUGAUUUCCAUUGAUUUUUCUUUCACAUGUUUAUUUCCCUUCUCAUUCACCACUUUGAAACGCUAUAAUUCUAUAGUCUGUCAGUCAUAUUCAUCUUUCUCUACUUUUCUAUACACACACACACACACACACACACACAUAUAUAUAUAUAUAUAUAUAAUACAAAAAUGGGACAAGAACGCAAAACAUCCAGACAGACGAUACAAAGAAAAUAAGGACGAGUCAUUCGGAGUUUUCUAUCCUCAUACAUACUACACAGCCACGCCUGAACCUAAAAGAGAAGUUGCAUCGGCCGGGAAUAUAUAUAUAUACAUCUGUAUAUAUAAAAGGCAGGAUGUGUGUGUACGUGAAUGUAAUUUAUGUACGUCCACAAAUUAGCAUGCAUGUCGCUCCAACUUUAGGAGGACAUUCGUCAUGACCCUAGCUGUAUUUUCAUCAACUUAUUUUUACCAGUAAAUAGCAGUAAAAAUAAAUUUUCAACCAAAACUUUUAACAAUUUUCAAGUCGGGAAAAUCACCAUUGAUUGCAAACAGGAGUUAAGUCCCCUUCUAGCGACGAGUAAGAUUUUGUUAAGACUUUUGUUUUUUUCCAUCGAGAAAAAAGUGUUUUGUUAAUAUACGGGCAACACACACACACACACACACACACACACACACACACACACACACACACACACACACACACACACACACACACACACACACACACACACACACACACACACACAGAGCCUCACAUACAAACACACACAUAUACACACACAUGAAUAUGUACGCGUAAAAAAAACAUGUAUGCAGUAGGUGUACGUAUGUGUGUGUACGUGUGUGUGUUGCCCAUAUAUAUAAACCAAUUUCAACGGAUUUCGGCCAAAUUUGACGUCGAUAUUAGUUUGGUUUGAAAUAAAGAACUUGAUUAAUUUAAUAAUCAUAACCUAAUCCCGGGCAAAGCCGUGUUAUACUGCUAGUAUAUAUAUAUAUAUAAUAAUAAUAAUAAUAAUAUUAGGGAGUAAAUCCAAACUUACAGGAAAAAAUUAGAUUUAGGAUUAAAUCUAAUUUUAUAGUAUAAAUAUAUAUUAUAUUAUAUUAUAUUAUAUUAAAUUAGAGAUAAAACCACUAUUAGGCAAAUCAAACAGUGAAAAUCAUAAGCCAAUACAUAGAAAUAAAAUUAAUAAAAAAAAUAUAUAAAAUAUAAAAUAUAAAAUUCCAAAUUAAAAUAUUUAAAUUAAAGUUAAAAUUUAAAAACUUAUUUAAAUUAAUAAUUUAAACUUAUAAAUUUUAAAUAUAUAUAUAUAUAUUUAAACUUUUAUUUAUUUAUUUAUUUAUUUUUUUAAAAUUAUAUAACUAUCAGAGAGUAUUAAAAGUUUAAUAAACUUCCUUACUUGUAUUUCUCUUCCUCUGUUCCAUUGUGAUACUAAGUGGAGUUUCAUUUGGCAUGUUGUUAGUGUAUUAAUCACAUACGCUUCCUCGGUCGGAGGUCCUUGGUUCGCGUUGCUUGAGAAGGGUGUUCUAAUUGUUUUGCAUAAGUUUGCAAGUUUUUCGGCGAUUUCGAAGGUUGUAUUUUUCGUGUCGGUUACCUCAUUUUUUUCUCGAUUCGGUUCACGUAUCGAGUCGAAUUUGUAAAAGAACGUUGACAGGUUGUGUUGAUAGUCUUGACUUCUUUUAUCGUUUCUUCCUUUAUGGUAGUUAUUGUUGUGUCUGCUUUUGUCGGCAUUUUCUCGUGUGGAGGUAUAUGUAGAAGGUAGAAAAGUAAGACAGGAUUUGAUAUGUAUAAGGAAAAUAAGACAAGGGAGAAAAUGCUAAAAUAAUGUUAUCAUGAAAUGUAUUUUAGAACCGGUUUCCGUCAAUUUAGAUUUUUUCAACUAAGAGUAAUAUAAGAAAAACAAUUAAAUUGGAGAGAAACAUUAAGUAAAAUGUUUUGUAGAUAUUUUCAUGAUCUUUAAAUAGGUAAAUAUUACCAUAGUUUACAAACAGUCUGUCUGUCUGUGUCUCUCUGUUCCUUUGUGAAUGCCUGGUAGGUUGGUAAGUAGGUAAGUAGACAGGUAGACAGGUAGGUAGACAGGUAGACAGGUAGGUAGACAGGUAGACAGGUAGGUAUGUAGGAAGGUAGGUAGGUAGGUAAGUAGGUAAGUAGGUAUGUAGGUAGGUAGUUAGUAGUAAAUUUGAAGGAAUAGUUUGGGUAAAGGCAAUUGGUGGUUUAAGCCGGAGCAGCCGAGGGAGGAGAAGUAGAAGUGGGAGGAGGAGAAGAAGAAGAGGAAGAAGGAGAUAAAGGAGAGGAGGGUGGAAGACUAGGAAGGAGAGGAUGAUGAAGAAGAAGAAGAAAAAGAAGAAGAAGGAAAAGAAGGAGAAGGAGGAGGAGUUGAAGGAAAUGAAAGAGGAAGAGAAAUACAAGUAAGGAAAGAAGAUGGAGAAAGAAAGGAAAAAUAUAGGAGUGCUGUGCCAUAGUAAAUUGAUCAUAGAAUCUUAGAAUCUUUAAUGUUCAAAUAACGCAAAAGUGACCAAUUAUGGUCGUAGCAGUCGGAAUGUUCUAAACUCUUGUAGUUCCAUCAGUAAUGGCGGAAUUCAAAAGAGUUUAUAUUAUGUGAUAAAGUACGUUUCUUUGCUGAUGCGCUGACUAUAAGUUGCAUUGCCCCUGAAUUUAUUGAGGGGGAAAAUUCUGAAAUUGGGUUGUUCGUUAGUGGCGCAAAUAUCGAUGUGCUCGCUUAAUCCUAUUCUCGUAUUUUAAUUUGGGAUCUAUAUGCCGGCGCCCUCUGACGUAAACUGUUUUCAGUUUGACUAAUAUAUUGUUGUUGGCACCCUGAUCAAGUUAAUACAUAUAUUAGGUUUUCCGAAGCACAUGUAAAGUUGUUUUUCAUUGUAAAAAUUUGACCCUGUUUGAAAGAGUUGUCAGAAUUGACGUCAACUAUUUACCAUCUGGCUCCACGACAACCCUAACAAAUUGUGUUGAAAGCCAAUUCUUAUAAAUUUCAGAGAUCAUACAUUAGUUUAAUCUCUUGACCUGAGACUUCGUUAGUUACUUUCAGGUUCGAUUCUUUUCUGUGUUUACAAAUUUGUAUAAAUACUUUUUCCAAAUCUGUUUUCUUCUUUCUUUGUAUUCAUGCUAUUUUGUAAUGUGUAUUAAAUUGAUAUACAUACAUGCAUUUAUAUAUAUUCUUCUUAUAUAAUUUACUUAUAUAAUUUACUUCUUUCAAAAAUCGAUACAAUCUUUGCAAACAUUGCUUUAACAAUAAAUACGAUCCAAACACAAAAUAUUAUCUCUAAAAAUAAUCAAGCAAACACAACUGACAACACAAAUCUUUUGGCGGGACCACCCCAAUCACAAAGGAAAACAAAUGACGAAGAAACAAAAACUGACACGAACCAAGAAAAACCUUCAAAACCCCAAGACUGGAACAAACUUCUAAACCAACGUAAACAUGCUUAUUGGAAAAGCAUACGCUGUAAGAACAUAGCCAACAUAUACCAAAACUGGCGGGACAUGAAGAACCCAAUACUCCCUAGAAAAUUCCUUAUCAAAGAAAUAAGGGGUGAAUCACUAGAAGAAACAACAAUACGUGCAAACCUAGCCCUUUGCCGACUAGAAACGGAAAUUUCCCUUCUACAAACACGAAGCUUACACUAGGAAGAUAAGAUUAAAGCAAUUGAUACCGUCAUAAUGGCCGAAAUAAAACUACGAAAAGAACUCUGGGGAAAAAUCAAUUAUGAAGACAAAGAAACUACGAAAACAAAUGAAAAGAUACAAUAAACCAGCAUCACGAACAUAUUGGACUCCCAAACAUCCAAAUAAGCCCUACCAAACACAAACCAAAAACCCGCUCCUUACAUUGCCGAACCCCCCCAAUAAACAGACACACAAAAUAUGAAAGACGACCAUCAACCCAAAACCCCACAAAGACAAACACACAAGCAGCAAGACGAGCAUGAUACAUACAAUCAACAACCUAUAACACUUGGAGAGAACAAACAGAAUAUGAACAACCACCAACACUGGACAUCCUAAAUGGAUACACACAUGGAACAAUAAACAAGUGUAUAGAAAUCAACACAUAACCUACAACAAACAUCGAAGAAAUCCAAACCAUACAAACAUCAACCCCAUGCGACCCCACAAAUUUACAAGAUGGAUAAAAAACAACUCCCUCUAUCAAUACAAUACAAACACAAAACAUGAACCAUCCACCUACCCACAAAGAAACCUGAACCCCAGUAAUAGAAAUUGGCUCAACAAACACAGAAGAUGGGAAGAAAACAACUACCAAAGACAAAACAACACACACAGACCAUACAGACCACCCCUACUGCUACAAGAAAACCUAAGACCUGAAAAUGGAAUUUGGAGACGCAACAGCACAACCCCUUUUUUAAGGGAAAGGAUACUUCAACCAUACUCCAGAUCCAAUACACCAAAAAUUUCCGAGUGAACACACAAAGCACGUAGACACCAAAAUAAUAAACCUAUAUAAAAGAGAACUUAGCGAAAAUGAAAUGAACCUACUACUAAAAUACAGGGAACUCAUAGAUAAACGUUUCAAGACAGACUUUAUUACCCAAGCCACCCAAUUAAUACUCGAAGAAAAUACAUUUUCAUUCAACAACAAGACAUACCGACAGAUAAAGGGCACGGCUAUGGUUACAAAAUUCGCACCUUCAUAUGCCAGCCUGGUGAUGGGUUUCCUUGAGAACAAACUAUACUAUGAAAUAGGGAAAGUCUUCGAACACGACUUCAGAGAAGACAUCAAGAAAAAGUGGAAACGUUACCUCGAUGACUGCUUCAUCUUUUGGAACCGAUCAGAAGACCUACGAACAUUCCACAACAUCCUCAACACACUGCACCCAUCUAUCAACUUCACAAUAGAUACCAGCCACAAUGAACUUCCCUUCCUAGACAUCAACAUCAAGAUACACAACUCCAUCAUCACAACAGACAUCCACUACAAAAAAACCGAUACACACCAAUAUUUAAAUUUCUACUCCUGCCACCCAUCCCACAUAAAAAGAAACACCCCAUAUAGUAUGGCAAGACGCAUAUGCUGCAUAGUAACAGACUCACAAGCACGCUUAAUAAUACUAGAUGAACUUAAAAACUUCCUACUAGAACAAAAAUACCCCAUUAAACUAAUAAAAAUGGAAUCUCAAGAGCAAUGAAACUGGACAUCACACAACUCAGGACCCCCAAAACAAAAAAAAAGAAAACAUUAUCCCUUUCGUAAACACACACAACCUUGGAGUUACCAACAUGUUUCAAAUCAUACAUUCAAGCCUACAAAUAGUCUUACAAAGCCCCAAAAAUGAAAACAUACUAAACAAAUAUUGCAUAAAAAAACAGUAGACGACAAGGCAAAACCCCGAAGAAACAACUAACGAGAGCGAAACUCUCAUCAGAAACUAAAACUGAAUUCUUUGCAAAAGAGUGCGGAGAUGGUAGAUGUGGGAUCUGCAGUAACCCCACCUACAAAUACAAAGAGGGAGACAAAGAAAUGAAAUUGAAAAGUGGUCACAUAUUCAAAAUAAAUGCAGAUAUGAACUGCAAGACGCAGAACGUAAUAUACUGCAUAACCUACCCCACAUGCAAGGAGGAUUACAUAGCUGAAACUGGAAAUUCUUUAUGCCAACGAGCCAGAAUUCACCGACAACAUGUCCAACAGGAGGAACUGCGCAAGAUACCACUAAGUAAACACCUAGAUACAUGUGGAGAAGGAAAAUUUAAGAUCUUUCCCUUCUACAAAUGUCCAAAGAAUGACACCUCCUUCAGGAGGAAUAUGGAAAAAUACUUCAUAACUAAGUUCUCCCCCAAAUUGAAUGACUGAAAAUAUUUCUAUAAUAAGCUGUACCAGAUGAAGGACCAAAUUUGUAAAGUAAAUUGUAUUAAGCACACACACACACACACUUACACACACACACACACAGAGUUCUACACAUAUGUUUUGGUGUUUGAAAAUGCAACAUUGAACAAAUGAUAUUCUAAUAUUUGAAUGAAACCAUUUUACUUUAAUUUGUACAACCAGUUACUUCUGUAUGAUAAAACUUAAUAUUCAUUUAGCUGUCAAUCAGUGAGAUAUUAGACUAAAUCAACUGAAGAUCAGACAACAGACUCAGUGGUUGUCAGUUUGUAUUCUGUCAUCUGUAACUUCAACACAAGAAAGUCUUUGCUCAUCAUACAUUGAAGGACAAAUCUUUCAAUUUAUAAUUUAACAAACAUAGUGUAGCAUUUAGUACAAUGUAUAUUACUCUACAUUCUUGUUGAUCACCAAAGCAAAUUGAAUUUUAAAAUGUGAAUUUUGUAAUCCAGAUUUUCCAUCCCAUGUAAGCACAGGAAUCAAACAUUGGAUUGAAAGAACUGAAUAGUGGUAUAAAUAUCAACACAAUUAUUUCUUCUUCCUCUUUUUCUUCUUUCUCCCCUUCUCCAACGACACCCCUUCGAGAUUCGCUGGCACCCCCCCCCACACACACACGCUGCACACACACACAUACACACCUUCACAAAACAUCAAUAAAAAGAAAUCCAGACAAUUCCUUUUUGAAAUGGCCAAUUUCUAAAAACCAAAAAUCAUUUACAGUUGCAAAAAUAUAAACAAAAGUGGUACUCUUGACCAUUGCUAAAAGCUAAUGACUGGUUACUCUUAACAACUUGACCAUUCCUCCUUAACACUUCUUUCAGAUACAAAGACACAAACACACGCAUCACACACGCGCGCACAUAAACACACACACACUCUCAGAAGACAAUGAUGAAAAGGAAAUACAAUUUAUGAUCUUCUUUCUCUCCCUAUUCUUCCUUUCCUUCUUUUUCUUUAACACCCCUUCAGAUACAAAAAAACACACACAUGGUCUCUCUCAUAUUCUCCCCAUUCAUCACCCUCUUGUACUAUCUUAUAUCCCUUCCCACCACUACACACUCACUAACAUUAUAAAAUGGUCAAAUUUUUCCCCCAAGAUCUUAGAACCCCCCUGGAGUAAGCAUCCUGACCAACUACAAAAGAAACCAGCAACAUUUUUUCUUCUUCCCCUCUCCCUUUUCUUCCUUUCCUUCUUUUUCUUUAACACUUCAUUCAGAUACAACAACACAUACACACACGCACACACACAGACACACAGACACACAGACACACACACACAUGGUCUCUCUCACUUUCUCCCUAGUCAUCACUCUCUUGUGCUAUCUUAUAUCCCUCCCAACCACUACACACUCAAUAACACUAUAAAAUGGUCAAACUUUUUCCACAAGAACUUGGUUCAAAUUGAGAACUCCACCAGAAUGGACGGAAGCGCUAAUAUAUGAUAUAUGAUAUAAGUUAUAUGAUGUAUAAAAACAUGUAAUAUACAAAUAAAUAUCUGUAAAUAUAAAACCUUCCGAAUUUCUGAGUACCUCAUUUGUUCUAAUAUAAAAUACCUGUACAUCAACUCCAAACCUUAAGUAAGAUUUUAUAUAUAAUUAUGACGCGAAUCUCUAUAACUCUUUGCUUGACCUUCCCUUCUUUCCCUAUCUCUCUCUCUCACAGCCGUUUGUCUCUCUCUCUCUCACUCCUCCUCAUCUCUCUCACAGCCGGCCGACUACUUCCUUUCGCCUGCGGCCUCCUAACAGUAAACACACAGUCUUCUUGCGCUCUUAAGAAUUUUUCCUCGUCUAGGCCAAAAAAGGCCCUCUUUGUUUGUUUUCUUGUUUGUUUUUAUUUCUUGUAUUGUAUUUUUUUGUAAUUGUAUUUUUGUUUUGUAUUUCAUUUUGUAUUUUAUUUUGUUUUUUAUUUGUAUCGUUUUUACGUCCUGUUUGUGUCACAUUUUUUUCUUUCCUUGUUUUUACCCCUCUGCGAAGUAAUUUUAUUUAAUUCUUUCGCAGGAAGGGCUUUCGACGAUUCGUGUUCUGUCCUCACCUUCGAAACACGCUUGAGUUGAACUAGGGACAGCUGAUGAAGGGGAUUUUUCCUUGUGUAGUUUGUCUUGUACUCUGUUUUUUCGUUAUUAAAAAAAGGUCCGUUCCAUGCUUGUUUUUAUGUUUUCGUUUCUAGCUUUAUAGAACUAUACAUUGGUGUCAAUUCCGAUGCCCCUUUUGUCCCGUAGGCGUUGACGGAGUUUGCCAAAUGCGUUGGUUGCCUUUGCAAGGCGGUUGACGAUUUCCUCAUCAAGGGAAGCGCUCGAAUUCACUUUACUACCAAGAUAUGUAAAUAACUUCACAUAAUUCAGGGUUUUCCCAUCAUUAGAAAUAUCAGGAAAAUUGUGAACCUGUGGCCUCUCGAAUUUGUUUAGGAGUAAGGCAAGGUUGGUGGAUUACUUCCAUCUUCUUUAUGCUGAUGGUGAAACCUAAGGCUUUACAUGCAGCAGAAAACUGGUCUAGAAGUUCCUGAGCUUCCUCUAAUGAGGUCGCUACUAGUGCAGUAGCAUCUGGAAAGAGCAGAUCUCAAAUAAUACUAGUGCGUUUUGGAGAACAUAAGAAUAAUGGAAAAUCGAGACAAACGCUCAAGAUGCUAAGUCAUUUAUCUCAUCACAUCACCGACAUAUGUUUCGAUAGAUGCAUUAAAAUAAAUCCGAGGGAAGGAUAAUGUGAAAAAUGCAUUAGUCUCGUCAGGGAUAAACCAAAUCGGAUACCAUUUGCGUUGAGAAUGGAGUGGUACCUGGAAUUUUGGGGAAAGUUCCUUUUGAUGGCUUGACGAAACAGAUAUGGAAUAAUAAACCAAAUAGUUUUACUUGGGUCCGAAUGAAACUUGCAUUCUCAACAAAAUUGUAGAAUUAAAAGCGUUGUUUAUCAAUGUAAAAUUUCUGCAGGAUCUAAAGAAUAUUGGCAUUCCAUCCAUGGAAUUUAAAAAAAAACGAUUUUAAUACAUUUAAAUAUAUUCAUAAACAUAAUACUACAGGUCUUAGUAAAAUAAUUUGGCAUCUCAAAGACAAAUAAAUAAUUUUCUUUGGAUUGCAAAAUUUUGUCAAGAUCAUUUCCUUAUGAUAAAGUGAAUUCUUUCUCCUCUCUUUGUCCGGACGACAACUAUUUAUCCUUUUUUCCAAACACACACUGGUCAACACCUAUAAAGAACGUGUUUACUGGUGUUUACAUUGGAAAAAAACAUUUUUCAACUAUUUCAAAUAAUAUCUGCCCCUUUAUCUGAUAAUUUCAGCAACUUAAACUUAAUCCAUAGUGUACAUAUGAAUUUCUAGAGAUAUGAGGAGGGAUUACAUACUCACAGACGACAAAUUUAUCCAUUGCUAAUCACAACGAGGUGGGUUUCAAUUCCUGCUUAUUAGCAUUACAGAGAGGGUGAAUUAAUCCUUUGUAUAGAUGCACAAUUUCCAAUGGUGUAGAUGUAAAUUUCAGAGAAAUGAAGAGGAAUUUCAUAUUCACAGGCGAUAAAUUUAUCAAUGGUUGAACACAAUGAGGUGGGUAUCAAUUCUUGCUAUAUGAUUAGGUAUUUGCCACAUUAAUCACAUUACUGCUAUUUUCAAGAGACUGUAGCUAUUUAACUUUUAAAAGUUAAAUAGCUACAGUCUCUUGAAAAUAGCAGUAAUGUGAUUAAUGUGGCAAAUACCUAAUCAUAUAGCAAGAAUUGAUACCCACCUCAUUGUGUUCAACCAUUGAUAAAUUUAUCGCCUGUGAAUAUGAAAUUCCUCUUCAUUUCUCUGGAAAUUUACAUCUACACCAUUGGAAAUUGUGCAUCUAUACAAAGGAUUAAUUCACCCUCUCUGUAAUGCUAAUAAGCAGGAAUUGAAACCCACCUCGUUGUGAUUAGCAAUGGAUAAAUUUGUCGUCUGUGAGUAUGUAAUCCCUCCUCAUAUCUCUAGAAAUUCAUAUGUACACUAUGGAUUAAGUCACCUUCUCUGUGAUGCUAUUAAAACUUUUUUUAAAUUCUGUGAUAAGACUGUACAUCAUCUUUAAUGAACUUUAAUGAACUUUGGAAAUCUGUUUAUGUUACUUAAUUAUCUACAUUACUUCAUGAGUAUAGCCUCAACCACUAGGAUGUCUAGAGAACUCACAUGUAUUUUAGCUGAUGAGUACGGGACACGUUUAUAUGCUGCAAUUUUUGCAACUUUUAAUAAAGCCUGUCCUUGUAUGAAACGAUUGUACUAAAAACCUAUCCAUUCUUGUUGCUUUUUUUUCUCGCGUAUAUAUAUAUAUGUAUAUAUAUAUAUAUAUAUAUAUAUAUAUAUAUAUAUACGUAUAUGUAUAUAUAUAUGUAUGUAUGUAUAUAUAUAUAUAUAUAUAUAUAUUUAUACACACACAUAUCGAUACCUUGAUAGAGAGAGGAGGAGAAAGAGAUAGAGAGUGAGUGAAUAAAAGAGAGGGUGCAGCGUAAAGAAAUUCGAAUCACAAGCAGGUGGGAACCUAAUUUCUAUAGACUAUGUACAAACCCAUUUUAUGUUUCUAUAUAGAGAACGCAUGCGAAUAAAUUCACAAGUAAGUUUUAUGAAGAGUAAGAUGUAUAUGAUAGUUGUAAACAGACAAAAUAAUUUAACCUGGAAGUGACGAUGUUGAGAGCUCAAAUCUAUGAACAUGAACACCAUGGACCGAUGUGUCCAUAAUUUCAACAAGAAAAUCGAGUCUUAUAAGAACUAACUAUUAACUAAAAGUCAACCCCUUGCAGUAGAAUUGUGUGUGUGACUAGAUUGCAGUUGUGUGAUGUGACUAAAAGUUUGAUGUAUUAAGAAAUAAAUAAAACUUCAAUUUUACAUUUCUAAUGUAAAUGAAAUGGCUAAAAUGGCUUUUCUACUAUUUAAUUGCCAAACAUAUGUAGAUAACACACACGCUUACACGCAUACACACUCAUACACGUCGUACACACUGACACGAUGCGCGCGCUCAUACAUACACACAUGCACACACAACAUUUCUCCUUCCCACACAUAUUCAUAUAUAAGAAGAGAAAUUUCUUUUUGCUAAUCAUCAAGUUUAUUGUUAGUUUAGGCAAUAUACUACGCUGAUGAAUUUAAACUUCACAUAAAGGAGUGAUUUAUAUAAUUGCAGGUUGGGUUUGUUAAUGUUAUCUAAGUUACCCACUAUCCUUUUAUCUUUAACUUGUUUCAGUCAUUGGAAAGCUGCUAUGCUUCGACACUGUCUUGAAAGGUUUUAGUCGAAAGAAUUGACCCAGGUACUUAUUUUUUAAAAGCUUGAUACUUAUUCUAUCAGUUUCUUUUGCCGAAACGUGAAGUUACAAGGACUCGAACAAACCAAAACCGGUUGAGAAGCGGCUGUGGGGAACAAACACAAACACAAAGUCAAACACAUAAAGUCACACACACACACACACACACACACACACACACACACACACACACACACACACACACACACACACACACACACACACACACACACACACACACACACACACACACACACACACACACACACACGCACGCACACACAACCGGCUUCUUUUAGUUUGUGUCUACCAAAAUCCAUUCAGAAGGCUUUGGUCUGCCUGGGGAUAUACUUAUGGUGUCACGCACUGGUACUGAACCCGGAAGCUUGUGUUUAGGAAGCAAACUUCUUACCACACACCCACGCUGGCGCUUAUAAGAUCUAUUGGUUUUGUUAUAAGAAAUUAGCAGUUUUUACUUAAUCUUCACCUAGGUGAGUACAUUUGUCCUCCUGCUUAAUUGUGCAUAAUUGUCCCAUUCAAUAAACUAUCCUACAAAAAUAAUAACGAUUCUAGUUGUAACUUAAUACAUUUAUACAUACUUAGACACGUAUACAUGUAUAUAUAUAUAUAUACUCACAUACAAAUGUAUGUAUAAACGAUGUUCCUCUGCACGGGUCCCAUCUACCACAACACAUUUACAUGUUAUUAAUGGAUCCAGUGCUGGAUUAAACAUAAAGCAAAAUAAGCACGGGCUUAGGGCAUCAGGGGAAAGGGGCACUACAGAAAUGGUAAAUGAUUUGUGGCUCAAAAGAAAUCACUUAUACUUGCUUAAAUAAUAUUCAAAGUGGAUUAUAUUAUUGGAAAUAUAAUUUCUAAGUGUUCACGGUGCCAUAGUGAGGAUCUGAUCAAAGUUAGAGAAAACUUUUGAAAUAUAAAUAAACUUGGCUGUAUAUAAAAAUAAAUAUUAUUGUCCAUCUUAUUGUUGGUCCUCUUUCAUUUUGAGAAGUAUGAAUUUAUCUUAUGGUAUUGUUUAUAUUUUGAAUUGCAUACAUAUAAAAGUACUAAGAUUUUUUAAGUGCUUAGGGCCUCUCUGGGUCUUAAUCCUGUCCAAGAUGCAUCUAAGUCUAAAGUAGUUGCCUUUUUGUUUGUUUUGACUCAAAAUGCUUUGCAUUGCGACAGAAUCCGGAAGUACGUGGUUGUGAAGAAAACCUCUCACAUAUAAACAUGCAUCUUUGUUUAUUUAUGACUAUUGUUACAAUAUGAGUUAAAGGUAACUGAAUGUAUAGAGUUCACGUCCCCUAAUAUAUUACCUGUCAUCCAUUCAGUAAUCCAAUUAUUUUCCUUCUCUAUAAAUUCUAUCAUUUGACCGGUAAAGAACAAAUAAUCAAACCAAAAUUUAAAAAACAAAAAACUCAGUAUUUGCUAGAUUUCUCUUCUAAUAAAACAUUAUUUCAAUUGAAAUAUUGUCACUAUCAUUUUUCAAUCAUCAGAUACAUAGGUAUCUGUCUAACAAAUGUUUGAAGAUUAAGGAUCUUUCCGUAAAUAUUCCAGCUGCAGAGUGUUUAUAUUCAUGAGCGUGUGUGCAUAGGUAAAAUAUUAGAGAAAAGGGUCAGCCGCUAGAUUACUUUUGCUAGAAAGUUACUGCUUCUAAAGCUAACAAAAGCCGCUGACUUUAAAGCUUCCAUGAAAGUAUCUGUUCUAUGUAGAAGGUCAAGUGCUUACUGAAGCUAAAACGAAAUUUUAAGAAAUUGGUGUUGAAUAUCUUUCAUGAGGUUUUCGAAAAUAUCAACACAUAUGCUGAUAAAAAGAAAUAUCUCAAGAAAUCUACUUGCAUUAUAUGCGUAACAAGUGGUAUCCUGAAGACUGUUAUAUAAAACUUCAGAAGAAGUGGAAACGUUAGAGUUGACAUUAUUUAUGUGUUCCGUGUUUCUGUGCGUGCAUAUGUGAACGUAUUGGUAUGUGUCUGCGCAUAUGUGUAAUGAUCUCAGCAUGAAUCAAUUUGUUCAAUAAUUUAUGAAAUUAUAACCUCAAUGGACCAUCUUAUCCUGUCUUACUCUAAUUAAUGACUUAUAUUUAAAAAGAUACAUCUUUUUAUAAGUAAUACUUCAUCAUUUCAUAGUCCAAAGUUCUUUAUUUUAUAUGUGACAUUCUACCUAUAGCAUUUGUUUUAGUUACUGUAAAUAUAUCAAAUACAGUAAACGCAAACAUUUUAUGAUGCAAAAGAAAACAGACAAACAAUUGUUUGCAGAUACACACGUACACACACAAACACACACACGCACGCACGCGCGCGCGCACACACACACACACACACAUUAAUACAUAUAUUUAUAUCAUUAUUUAUCACAAGAUUCUUUAUGUGAAUUUGUGUGUUGAAACAAAUUUUGUUGUGUCUAGGAAGUCAUUAACACAGCCACUGGUUCAAUUUCAUUCCUUUAUUAUUCCUCAAUUGGUUAAAUACCAAACUAACUAAUCGAGUGUUCGUAUAAUUCAAUUAAAAAGUAAGUCAAUUUCUUGUUUUUGUCGGUCAAAGCUCUUUCGUUGGUACUUGCAGCGAAAGUGUACGUACAUCUACACAUGUGUAUGAACACAUGUGUACAUACAAAUAUAUGAGUGAAUGACUGCGUAUAUGUAUACAUGUGUGUGAUUGUUUGUAUAUAUAUAUAUACAUAUAUACCAAUUGAUUUCAUGCUUAGUAUGAUAAACAUGCUUUGCGAUCUUCAGUUGAAUACAGCAUUUAACAUCUAUUUCUAAAAUAUUCACUACGCUAACUCGUGUGCGUUCCUAACUUUAAAUGUCCCGCUCCGUUUAAAAGAAACUAUUGCAAACAAGAAAAAUUUUAAUAGAAUAGUAUUAUUACCGUUAUUUACAGUAAUAAUAAGAUUGUUAGCAAAUUCAGACCUUUACAGACAAAAUACAAAAUAAUUUAAGAUUAGAUAGGCUAUGCAAUACCACUUGCUCAAAAAACAAAGCAAAAAAAAAAAACACUAUCAAAAUUACGAUAAUGAUACACAUGAGCAAUGCAAUAUGUUAACACUUUUAAACAAAAUACCAGUUGAAUUUUUUCAUGCUAUAUCGUAGAGAGAUAGAUAGAUGCAUAUAUGUAUGUAUGUAUGUAUGUAUGUAUGUAUGUAUGUAUGUAUGUAUGUAUGUAUGUAUGUAUGUAUGCAUGUAUGUAUGUAUGUAUGUAUGUAUGUGUGUGUGUAUGUAUGUAUAUAUAUACAUUUUGAAUAUAUAUAUACAUAUAUAUAUAUAUUCAAAAUGUGACCGCGUGUGUACCAUUGGCGAUUUUUUUUCCUCCGUCUUCCCUUCUUUGAAUCUUUCCUUUUCCUAUGUUUCUGACGAAGAGCUCUGCUCGAAACGUUAAACUCUCCUUCUUUCCUUCUUUCCUGAGCGUCCAAUAAUACUAUACUUGUUCCACGUCCUCGCGUUGUUGUGUUUUCUCUUUGUGUUUUCAUGUUUGGAUUAAUUUUAUAUUUAUACUAGCAGUAUUGCCCGGCUCGUGCGCUCGUGCGUUCUAUGCACGCGCGAAUUAAGCUAAACUUGGAUGAAGUUCAAUCAAAAUUCAAUUAUUUUGGUUUUAAAAUCAAGCAUUUAAUGCCCUCUAUUUUUGCGUUUAUGUGUUCUAUUUCCUCUAUAAGAAGUAUGUAGAAGCGUUUCAUAAAUUUUUGUUGAUCAAAUAAUUGCAUUGUUGAAUUAUUCUUUUAGAUCAGUAUUUCUCAACGGGGAUUUCAGGGGAGAGUUUCAGGGAGUCGCUGGCGAUGUAUCGUGAUUAUCAAAAAUCCUGCCUGCUAAAAUUUGGUUCAAGUGAUUCAAACUGCAGACUCAACGCAAAAUGGUCACAUUUAAUUCAAAGCGUUAAAAAUGUCAUGAAAACAAUUGGUAUGUGUUCACAAAGUCCAAACGAUUAAUACGAAAAAAACCUCCAGGCUACAUCCCGAAAAUUCAUUUCUUUGCCGAAUUUCUACAAUGUUUACGGCGAUUCGUUUUUAUAUCUUGAUUUUUAUUUUUCAUGCAGUUUACGAAUGCUUGCACGCGUGGUGAACACAGUUCACGUCAAACAGCUGACUGAGUAAAGUUCACUAUUCAAUGCAUGGGAUAAGGCCUAAACAAACACAUCAUCGAUUUUUGCACUUGCGAGAUGAAUUUCAGAACAGUAAUAGCGCAGUUCAAUUUUCAUUCGCCUAAACUUUAAGUGACCCAUUUUUAGUGGUUCUACGAUUUGUUGACUAGAAGGAGAUGUGCCGGGAAGUUAAACACACAGACGCACACACAGAUACACACACAGACACACAAGUUAAGUUUUAUAUAUAUAUAUAUAUAUAUAUAUAUAUAUAUAUAUAUAUAUAUAUCGUCUGAAAAGCAUAAAUCCGAAAGAAGAAACGCACUCUAAGAUGUAGAGCAGUAUAUAUUAAAAGUGGGGAAGACCUGUUUAUGGGAUUACCUUAGGUUUCACGUCUAUAAAGGGUUUGCUUUUAUGGCUAAACUACUGUAUCAUAUUUUGCUAUUGGCUAUCGACUUCUGGCUGUGUCGCCAUCUUGUAGACUUCAAAAGUCUAGCAGCAACUUCUUGAAAUGUGAACAUGCCCCGAAAGUCUCCGUUCUGGAUUUAAGUGUUUCCUGGUUCGAGUGAGUCCUUUAGGUUUCUCGCCUGUUCAGCUAUGCAUAACUUGCAACACUUCGUCCCGUUGAUGAAGGUGCCUGUGCUUUCGAGGAUUUUCCAUGAGAUCCAGUAUGGAAUCCCUUCAUCUCUUAGUUGCCAGACGUGUCUGUCCAGCGAUGUUACGUAUAUCUUAUCUGGAAGUCUAAAGGAGGACCUGUGGUUGAAAACAAGUUGCUUGAAAGAGUUCCGAACAUCUAAUAUUUUUCUGUGAGCGUGUGUUGUCAGUGCAGUAUCUGCUGGUGUUGUUGUUGCUGCCACCAACAUCGUUGUUGUUGGAGUUGGGGCUGCUGGUGGUGGCGUCACUGGAGGUGGUGGUGGUGGUGGUGGUGUUGGUAAUGGUAUUGCCAUUGCCGGUUAUGGUCAAGACGCUGUUGUUGUCAUUGUGGUCCUCGUCAUUGGUGGGAGAGUUGCUAUUGUUGCUAGAGGUGUCAUUAGCUGUGGUUCCGCUGGUGUUUCUGCUAGGGCCACUGUCGCUGCUGCUACUGCUGUUGCCAUUGCUGUCAUUAUUGCCGUUAUUGCUGUUAGUGGCACUGUACCUGUUGCUGCUGCUAUAGGGGUUGUCAGGUAUGUUACUGUGGACGUUAGGGAAGUUGUUGGAAAUGUUGGUGCUGAUGGCGAUGCUUCUGUGGAUGCUAGUGUCGUUACUGCUGUCGAUGUUGUCGGGAGAACUGUCACUACUGUCGCUGGAACUGUUAUUGUUGCUAAUGGUGUUAACUGUGGCAAUGGUGGCGGUGUUGCUGGUUCUGUUCUCUGACCUACGUCUACUAUUACCAGGGUUUGCUAGUACUUUGCCUUCAUAGACGACCCCUUUGGUUUCGCAGUGGCCUCCCGAAGGGCAUCUCUUGCGGUCCCUGUAUGAACAUCCUGCCUCUUCCUGUGUCCUAGGGGCGCUGACUAGGGUGCUCUUAAUAUUGGGGGACCAGCUAAAUAGGACUCUAACGUUGUGCUUGUUGAAAAUGGGCCCAUACCCAUGGGAGCUCGUGAAAUGCUUGUCUAUUAAUUUAAGGAAUAUUCUAUCCACGGGCGUUUUGGAAUUAAGAGAGAAAGUGGGGGUGGUAAAUCAAAUGGUAUUUCUACGGCGCUUCCUUCUGUGGUUGUUGGGCUCCGGCGUGUAGGAGAUUCGGCCUCGAAGUCUGCUGGCAGCCAGGUUUACGUUAUAGUGUGGGUCGUUGCGUCGAAAAUCUCUUGGCUAGAGGAAAGUUUCGUGAGUCUCUUAGUAACACACUUCACCAGGUUUUUGAACAUGAUAGGUAGGUGGCAGGUUGCUACGUUGAUGGGAAAAUCCUUAACUCCAGAGCAGAGAUUUUCGGGCCAUGUUUACAUUUCAGGAGGUUCCUGUCAGACCUUUGGAAUUCACAAGAUGGCGGUACAGCCGGCGUUCGACAGCCAAUAGCACAGGAAGAUAAUCUCCAGUUGUUACCUUUGAGGUGUGAGGCAUUUUCUAUGCCAUAUUUUAAAGAGGUCUUGGGCUAACAGGUUUUUGAGAUCUGACGAUACGCCAUACAGCUAAACCCUUUAUGGAGGGAACCCUAAGGUAUUCCUAUAAACCGGUCUUCUCCGUUUUUAAUACACCGUGAAGUAUAUUUGCCACCUAAAUGUGACUGACUCAUAUAGGACGAUGCUACUGUUGUUUAUAACCCCAGGCAGACAUCUCCUCCAGCUGGCUAAUAACGCACUGUCUGUGUCCGAUCAGUAUUUGCGAAGGGAAAUCAUCGUUCUCAUCUCUAGCCUUACGUAAUACACACGGACCCGGGUUUAUGGGUAGUAGCCCGUCGUCAGCGUGUGACAAUCCUCAGCUAGUGAUGAAAACUAAUUCCAAACACAAAAUACUAUAUGCUUUUUUCCAGUGACAAACCGUCGCUGAUCUCGAUAAAGGAGAAACAAAAAAUGAAAAUUCUCUGAGCGAGAUGUAAAGAGUAGCAAGUGAUGAAAACUGAUUCCAACCGCAAAAUAGCCAGCUGGAGUAGAUGUAUUCCUGGGGAUGUAAGCAACAGAGGUCUUGCUGCUAUUGUUGACAUCUCGCUCAGAGAUUUAUUAUUGAUUAUAUAUAUAUAUAUAUAUAUAUAUAUAUAAAAAAUAUAAAUUAGAGAUAAAACCACUAUUAUGUAACUCAAACAAUGAUAGACAUAAACCAAUACAUAAAUAACCAAUAUAUAUAUAUAUAUGUAUAUAUAUAUAUAUUUUUAAAAAAAAAUAUAUAACUAGAUCUCAAAAGGUAUAAAAUGAAUGAUAAAUAUAUAAUAUAAUAUGUGAAAACACUACGUACGUUUUUACAUAUAUUCCCAACGAAUUAAAUAUAAUUUAAAGUGGGAGAUAAUUUGUAAGGCGAAAUCAUAUAGUAUAGGUAGCAAUUAUUGUUAUUUGUGUUCUAGUUAAUUUAAUGAAAUAUUAUUUAAUAAUCAUAAUAAAUUAGUGAAUACAUUGGACGAGCGUAAAAUUAAAUGUAGCCACAAAUUACUUUACUUAUAUAAUAAUUUUUUAGAUAAAUAGCGACUAUAUUUAAACCCUAUUUUGUUUCUAAUUUGGAGUUAUAUUUUGUACUAGUAUUAAUUCUAAAAUUUAGUAUGAGAUUUAUAUUGUAUAUUACAUAAUUUAAUCAUUCUAAUUUAACAUUACGGCGGUGCAUCAGCAUGGCCGCAGCUCUGAGCUGAAACUAGAGAAAUAUAAAUAAAUAAAUAAAUAAUUAAAUAAAUAAUUUAAUUAAUGAUAGUAGUGUUGUGUUUGCACCUCUGUAGGUUGUUUGAGCAUUAGUCAAUAAGAGUUACUAAAGGUUCUUUAAAUACUUAUAGUUAGAUUAUAUUUAAAUGUUUAUUUUAUUAUUAAAUAUAUAAUUUAUUUAAUGAAUAUAGAUUAAAAGAUAGUUAUUUCUUUUUUUGUGGUUGAUAUUGUUAUUAUUAUUAUUUAGUUAGUUAGUUAGUUAGUUAGUUAGUUAAUUUGGCUCAAAAGCAAAUAGCAAGGCCAUGUAGGGGGACAUGGAGUUAAGUACAGGGUAGUGUUCAUGUAAAGAGUUCAGGCCACUUGAGGUCAAGGGAGGCUUUGAACAAAGCGGUCGUCGGCAUCUUCACCAUCUCGUCUGGCAGCUUGUUCCACGGAUCCGCAACCCGGACGGAGAAAGCUCCUCUCCUUCGAUUGAGAUGAAAUCGUCGCAGGUAGAGCUUUUCGGAAUGACCCUACUAUGAUUAUUAUGUCUACUAAAAUUUAUAGUAUUAAGUAUAUAUAUCUUUUUUGGUAAUAGUUUUAGUAACGUUAAAUAUAUAAUUUUGAAUGUGUAGUAUAAUAAUUUUUUUCUUUAUGUAAUAUUUAUUAAUACUGAUAAUAAGUACUUUAUUUAUUCAAUUAAAGAGUGAAGUAUUUGAUCUAAAUAUAGAUUACUUUACCUAUAUGAUAAGUUUAAUUUAUUAUUAUUUAGCAUUUGUUUUUAGUAUUAGUAUGAUAUAUAAUAUUUAUUUAUUAUAUACGACAGUUAAGUUUAUAGUUUUUAAUAAUUUUUUUAUAUUAAUCAAAAUGUAUUUUAUAUAUUUCGAAGUAGACUUAUUUAGAUGUUUAUUUAAUUAAUUAAUAUUAUAUUAAUGAAUUUUGUUACAUUAUAGUUUUUAAAUUAAUUUAGUUUAUUAAUUAGUGGUCAUAAUAUAGAUAAUGUUUGAAUUACUACUGAGUCAAUAUUGUAUGUGUCUAAAAGAUAUUUUAUUUAAAUAAAGAUUUGACUCCAACGUAGCCAUUUUUAUAUAUAUAAAAUAAAUUUGUUUAAGAUUAUUAGAGAAUAUACAGUAAAUGGUAGUUAUAUAAAUUAUUUAAUUUAUAGAGUUUUGAAUAUAAUUUAUUGUGGUUAAUUAUAAAUUUUAGUUUUAUAGUGAAAGAUAUAGAGUAUAGUGAGUAUAUUCUCUAUUAGUGACUUUGUUCUCUUUAUCUAUUAAAGCUAAAAUAUAGCCAUAGUUUUCAUUGAUAAUAUUUAUUCGUAGUUUUCAUUGAUAAAUUAUAUUCGUAGCUUUCAUUGUUAAAAGAAUUUUUCCAUCUACUUAUUCUAUUUCUGUUAAUAACGUAAUUCCACGAAUUUUCUUAUAAACGCUUAAAAGACGUUUUUCGUUUUGAGAUUUUAGUUAAUGACACGGUUUUCGAGAGUUAAGUAAACUUUUUUAUAUUUAAGAAAGUUUAAGAAAUUUUAUUUACACACACACACACACACACACACACACACACACACACACACACACACACACAUAUAUAUAUAAUGUGACCUUGUGUGUACCGUUGGUGAUUUUUCUCCUCUGUCUUCCCUUCUCUGGAUCUUUCCUUCUAUGUUUCCGACGAAGAAUCCGCUCGAAACGUUAAACCCUCCUUCUUUCCUUCUUUCCUGAGCAUCCAAUAAUACUAAAUGUGUUCCACGUCCUCGCGUUGUUGUGUUUUUUUGUGCUUUCUUGUUUAGAUUAACUAUAUAUAUAUAUAAUUUUACUGUGUGGUAAGAAGCUUGCCUCACAACCACAUAGUUCCUGGUUGAAUCCCACUGCCUUGUGACUGGAUUGUUAGACGGGAACUGAAAAAAGCUCGUCGUGUAUAUGCAUAUCUGUAUUUGUUCUCCCACCACCGUUUGACAACCGAUGUUGGUGUGUUUGCGUCCCGUAACAUAGUAGUUCGGCAAAAGCGACUGAUUGAAUAAGUCCUGGGGUCGAUUCAUUCGACUUAAAAUUCAAGUCUGUGCUCCAGAAUGACCACAGUCUAAUGACUAAAACAAGUAAAAUAUAAAAGAUAAAAAAGAAAUAGGAAAAAACGAGAGCUAAUGAAAGACAUGCACAAAAUUAUAUUCUCUAUAUCAUUCCAAUAUGUAUUUCCGAAGCAUUACACAUGCAUGAAUGAAAUUAUACUAGACAUUAUCAAUCACACCGAUAUGAAGUUUAUUGACAGAUGGGAUACGAAAUGGCUGAAAUAUUAAAAAUUAUUUGUAUCGGAAGCUUACCGAUAACGUUUCCUCUGUUAAAUAUGACAGUAUUGUAUAGAGAAGUCAUCACUCGUAAAAAUGCAAUCAAGGAAUUAAUGCAAAAAAAGUGUACACUCAUAUUAAUUUUAAUUAGAAUAUAUGAAAAAGCUGUAUAUAUUCGUCUGUGCUCUGUAAAAUUCAUACGACGAAUAUGAACAUUAAGAAUUAUUCAAUGCAUGUAAACAAUAACUGGUGCUUUCAGAAUUAACGACUUGACCUGCUUUUGCAAAAGAUAAUUCUAUAGUUUAGUUAUUUCUGAUCUAUUUCUGAAUCUGUGAAUUCUCCCGAAGAGAAUUGUUUUCCAUAUUAUAAUACUCAGUAUUUCUUUGUUAAGCACGAGAAGAGCUUCACUUACGAUUUUAUCAUAAAACAAAUUCUUUUGCCUUUUCAUAUUUUUAAUUCAAUGAUAAGUUAAUAUACUUAAUGAUGUAAGUAUAUUUGUCACGUAAUAAAGCGAAUGAAAAUAAUGAAUGGCUUUUAGCUCAAUUCACUUCUACUGUUAAUUUAAACUCCUUUAGCCGAUUUUCUUCAUCUACUUUAAAUGUUAAUAUGUCGCAUGAGUUGAUAAGUUUUUAUAGUUUAGGUAGGUGAUGAAAGACAAUUAGUUGUGGGCAAGGCAUUAAACAGCAUUCAGCGAGUUCAAAAAAGUUUGGUGGAGUCUUGAUCACCAUUAAUCCCCAGUCUGCACUGACCUAGGUUGGUUGUAAUUGUCAACGUUCACAUUCGUGGGUCGAAUACCCGAAGAUGGAUCUGUGUCUAAGGUAUAGGCACAGAUCCAUCUUCGAAAGAGGACCUAUUCCUUGGCAUGUCUUAAACGGAUUCACCUGCGCGCGGUCAUACCUUAAUGUUAUGUGAAGCAAUACCCCUUGCUUCAAGUGUAAUAUCGGGAAAGUAGAAGGCUAGCAGGCUAAACUGUAAAUAAACAGGUAGAAAGCAACGGGAAGACACAGUUAUACCUUUUCCAAAAAAAGUUUACGACUCUUCAGACUUUAUCUUGUUCGUGACCACCAAAACCUAUAGGCCUGUUGAUCCAUGACAAUGGAUGCCCGUAGGCAUGACGCAUAAAGAGAGCAGAAGGACACAUGGUACUUUUCAAGGCCUCUGAAACUAGUGGAAGAAAAUUAUUCUUAAACGGGCGACAUGAUCUGAAUACUUUGGGACUCAACUCCAAAGCUAGAUGGUGGUGCCAAACCCUGUAACUCUGAGUCUAUUAUUUCUUUAUCGAAAGAAAUAUUUGCAACAUGUUUUUAUGUAUUUCAUAUGUAGAAAUAUUUCUAACGUUCUAUAUACAUCUACAUAUGUUCUUUUGUUACUUGUUUUGUUUUAUCUAUUAUAUAUCACGCCAACCGAAUCCCCUUUUACGUUCUCUUCUUAUUUUUAUUAUCUUUCAUCACUUUACUCUUAUCAAGCUAUUUCUCGUACAAUCUCGUAUAAUAUAAACAACUCCCAUUUUGAGUACCCAUACAGUAUUUUCUUAUUUUUAAUGCAUUGAACAAUAAAAGUUUUAAAUACUACAAACAAAUCAGUUUAAUAUAUAUUCUUGUACAUUAACCGACGUUUUUCUAGUUCUGGUUUUUCUCCUUAUAUAUUACUGGUCAUGGAUCAGGAAUAUUAAUUUUCACAAUGAUCUACAGAGUUCUGCCCUAUGCAGUAGACAUAACCAUUUGUUCUAAAUUAAAUUGCUUAUAAAUUGUAAAAAAAAAAAAUCAUUUAAAAUGUAAAUAUAUAUUUAUAUUCAAAUAUUUUGUUGCAUUUCCAUUAUAUAUAUUUGCAAUAUAAAAGAGAGUAAUACUAAUUUGUGAUAAAUUUGUAUUGCAAUAACUAAUAUGGAAACAUGCGCAAUCACAUAAACCCCAUCACAUAUAUACUCGACAACUCGCAGUUAGAACUAUUAAUUUGCAUGUAUACAUUUAUUUCCAUCUUUAGAUUGAACCUACUGCAAAUGAUAAUGAGAUCUAAAUUUCAUUCAAUAAAAGAUUAUUAUUUCGUUUUUGGAUUUGGUUUGCAAGAUUCUUUAUGUGAGUUCGUGUGUUGAAGCAUAUUCUGUUGUGUCUGGGGAGAGUCAUUUUCCUUUUGUGCAUUAUAAUUUAAUACACUCCGCGGUAAAAUUUCCACUUAUUUCUUAUUUCUAUUUCCUAAAAAUUUUCGUUGCGUCUUGCAACAUUUUCAAUAGUCUUGAACGGACAGAGUCAAGUCAAUUGAAAAGGUUGCAAGAUGCAAUGAAAAUUUUAGGAAAAUAAAAAUAAGGAAUAAGUGGAAAUUUUACCGGUGAAUGUGUUAAAUUAUAAGGCACAGAAAGAAAAUGACUCUCUCCGGACACAACAAAAGAUUAUUAGUUUCCUCUUAAUUAGAUUGUCUUACUUUUCUCAAUGCCAAAAUGUUGGGCGCAUAAGACAAUAAUCUUUUUGUUGAGUGGCUAUCAGAAUAGUCUUCUCCUGCCGGAACGUUAUCUGAUCAAAUUCGCUUUAUUUAUUUACUAUGUAAGACAAUUCACAGUAUAGCCAUGUUAUAUAUGUAGACUUAAUUAUCCACUCCAUUUAUUAUUGAGUCCAAUAAUAAUUUUCUACCCCAUAAAGAUAGGUGCACAUAGUUGUACACGUUUCAGUGGUUUAAUGAAGAAAACAACUGAAUAUUUUCACUUUCGAUGUAGAACAAGCAGCUGUUGUCCAGCAAUCUAUGGACUCGGUCAUAUGUAUCCCUUUUACUAGACGCAGCAAUGAAUCAAUAUAUUCUUUUUGUGGAGAAAGUUAAUGAAAUUAUUUGAUAUUCAUCGGUUUCUUACAGCUAUGUAUCGAAUCUGGGUGGUGGGUAGAGUUCCUUUGGGGCUAAUCGUGUUAAUACCUCAGAUUCAUAGGAGAGAUUAGUUUUCGUUGCAUUUAUGUAUUGUAUUAUUAUGUGCUUUAAUAUUUUAAGUAGAAUAACCUCGAAUUUGAAACUGGACUAUCAAUUCCUUUUAUAAGAAACUGACCACCUCUGUACAUUGAUAGACAUCACAGAAAAUUCAAAUAAGGAAACUGAUGAGAAAUGUAUCAUAAAGUAAUAAAUGGCCUGAGCCAAUACUGGCCGAAACCUAUGAAAUUAUCAAAGUAUAUAUAUAUAUAUAUAUAUAUAUAUAUAUAUAUAUAUAUAUGUAUGUAUGUGUGUGUGUGUGUAUAUAUAUAUAUAUAUAUAUAUAUGGUUAUCAGUAAUAAUAAAAGGGUGAAAUUAAUUAAUUAGGGAUAAUUAUCAAUUACACCAAGUAGAUUUCGGUAUGUAAAAGCCCCAUUCGAGGAAAAUUUAAGUAAUACUAAGUAAUUAAGGGUUUAGCAACGAAUUGCCUCACCAACACACCGAAUUUAGAAAUAGCAGUCAAAGAGAUAUAGCUAUUCCUUCUACUAAAGGGGGAUCUCAGUAAAAACACAGCACUUAAAAGGCAAACACAGACAGGUAAGAAAGAAAGAAUGAAAUGACGGCAAUCCAUCAUGCAAUUUUAAGUUACCUACGGACGUACGUUUCGAGAUCAAGUUUUAGGAUAUCAUAAGAAUUAGAUGGAAGGGGGCUGGUGACACAAACUUUCAUUCAAACUUUGAAUUUCGUGGUACUGGUCAUGCUUUGGCUCGCUCUGACACUGAGUUGAGAUGACGCAUUCUAGUAUCUCAAAAUUUAAUAUACAAUUAUUCACAAUUGUAGUAUCCUGCGCCGAUGAGAGAAGAAGUCUGGGUAAAGUAGAAUUUUCUAAUUCUUAUGAUAUCCUAAAACUUGAUCUCGAAACGUACGUCCGUAGGUAACUUAAAAUUGCAUGAUGGAUUGCCGUCAUUUCAUUCUUUCUUUCUUACCUGUCUGUGUUUGCCUUUUAAGUGCUGUGUUUUUACUGAGAUCCCCCUUUUAGUAGAAGGAAUAGCUAUAUCUCUUUGACUGCUAUUUCUAAAUUCGGUGUGUUGGUGAGGCAAUUCGUUGCUAAACCCUUAAUUACUUAGUAUUACUUAUAUAUAUAUAUAUAUAUACAUCUAUAUAUAAAACUGAUUAUAACAGUUAUUAUAGUCCACUCUGCAUUCUUGUGCCAUUCAAGACACGUUAUAUUUUGCAAACUAUACAAAAUGUUUCAAGCGAAGUACAAUAAUCUCAUAUAAUUUUUCUUUUGUUACUGUUCUUUUAGUUCAACUCUUGAAAUAUAUGUAUAUGUUCGCAGAAGCCUUCUCAAAUCGUGCAAACGAUCCCUUGCAAAACCACUGCAGUUUCUUUUGCAGAGCUUUCUUGGAAAUGGUAAGCUACCAGUCCAAUUGAAGAAAGGAUAAUAGGCUCUAUCCAUAAAAAACGAAACAGAGCAGAUGCUAUAAACUAUUGGCCUAACUCUCUGGUCUCACACACUAUCAAAGUCCUUGAGACUGACUUACUGACUGACACCCAGCAUAGCUUUCGAGCAGGUAGAAACUACCUGACACAAAUCUUAUGGUAUACAACUGAGUGUUAAAGCAGCUGAAGAAAAUGCAGACAAGAUACACUGGCCCAAGAAGGAUUGCAAUCACUGAAUCAAGAUCAGUGCGCGACUCGAGCAUUAACAUGAUUAAUGAUGCACCUUUCAGGUGCAUAUUACUGAGUUGGCAAUAAAAUGCUGGCGGCUGAUCGGAUGGAUCAUUAGAACUUUUAGUAGGAGAUAUCAGGAGACGAUGGCCAUUUAGACGACUGCUCUGAACUAUGGUCAUCACACACUGUAAAAUAACCGGCGGAUCUGGAAGCAACCCAGUGAAGCUACACAAAGAUCAUCUCAGUGCGAUUUGACCGCUACUGGGAGAGUUUGAAAAAGUUAAGACUACUCCUUAGAAUAAAGCUGAGAAAUAUAUACAAUGAUAUACAUCUUGAAAAUCCUGGAAGAAAUAGUAUCAUACUUUGGUGGUACUCCAGCAUGGCCGCAGCUCUCGAGCUGAAACUGGUAAAUUGAUAAAAGAAAGAACAAAACAAUAUGCAUGUGAUUUCUCAUUACGCUUAAAUGCGAAGCCAGAAUUUUCCACUCGAGAUGAAUAUAACAAACUACUCCAAAUCUUUAUUAGAGUAUCUGCGUAAAUGGAUCCGAGACAGACUCGUUUGUACUAGCAUCAAGUCGUAUAAGGUAUUAUAAAGAAGUCUAAACAAAUAAUGAUACUUUUGUCAAAUUUUGUAAUUCUCUUUGCACAGGUAAACGAACAAGUAUCAAAUAUCUGUAAUCUGCGAAUUUCUAUCUCGCCGUAGCGGAAGCACAACUAAAAGCAGAACCUAUGAGGAGGUAUAACAACAUCACACGUAAUCCUGUUGAGAUGAAAUCAACUCUUGAUUUUUUUAAUAAUUGAGAAGGAUGAUAACUAUGAAUGACUAUGAUGAAGUGAUCGGCGUAGGUGACCUCACAGACCAAGUUCCACCACUGAACCUUUAAAUACUCCUUUUGUCCUCUCCUAAGAAGCUACAUACACUCUCAACGAGUAUGUUACUUUCAUCCAUCUUUUCACUACUCUUUUCAUGCGAUACCUCUACACAACCACUUUCACGAUCGCUACUACAUCCAGAAAACAGAUCUUCCAUUCCCUUUUCAGUGAGGGUGGUGCAACAAUCUUUAUAAUUGACUCGGAAGACAGCUGUAUUCUUCCUAAACGUGACAGCAGGUGUUCGACAUAAACUUACAACUCGAUAGUUUCUGCGUUGCACAAUAGCAAUUGGGUUGGCAUGAAUAGCCAUGCCUAGCGAGUUUGUCUCGAACUGGUAAGUCUCCUCGGUAACAUUACGAAGCCAGAGACCUUUGGAAGUUGUCCAAAGGCCUCGGCCCAAAUGUCCUUUGGAACAAACCAACAAGUUGACCUUCAUCGAAACCCAAAGUUUCCCCAGAUCAUCGUCACACUUGGCCUCUAUCAGCCCUCUAUAGAAUGAUGAGGUGGAACCCUCACCAUCGGCAUUACCCGUCCAGGAGAGAAGCGCGAGAGCCUGCCGACAUUUGGCAUACCACGCUCCCAAAUUAGGUCUACGCUUCAUCCACAGUUCCAAUUCACCGAAACUAGGGAAUUGAGGAAGAAUCAGUUUGACGAACGAAGACCACACUCGUUCACCAUCCAGAUAGAGCCAAAGAUACCUCAGACUUAGCGCAUGCCUACGCAUCAUUAGCCUCGGCAUCCUUAGCCCAACCAUUAGCAGCUGCUGGCAGCAGACAGUGCCUUACAAGCGGACACUUGCCCUUCCACAAAAAGCGAAAGAGCAAUCGUUCCAUCUUGCUCAGCCACGUUCCAUCUUGCUCAGACAAGGCACGACAGUUAAGCAGUAAGUAAUCACAGAUGCGAUGAACACAUUUACGAUCUCUGCCCUCCCUUUCAGGAAUAGACACCGCUCAGACUAGGUCUGAGUUAGGUAGGCCUCUCUGCUCGUAACCUCGCUCCAAUUCUUCUGUCUAGAGGUCUGGACUGUACCAAACUCCUAGCAUUUUAAGCGGACCUUCCGUCCAACGCACGACUGCGUUGUUGGGUGGUAUUGACUUGUCUCUCCAGAUGCCCACUAACAUAUCACGGUUGAUAUUUGUUCCUACCACCGCCUCGUAAUCUUUAAUGACCUCGCCUACUUUCUGCAGGUGUUCCACCUCGGACACGAUGAUGGUGAUGUCGUCCGCAUACACCGCAACCGACUUUCCACAUACUAGAUCACAUGGGGCGCCCCUCAUACCCUCGAACCUCCGCAGAAUAGGCUCCAGCACAUAUAGAAGUGGGUAGAGGGGACAUCCUUGACGUACCGAAUGCUUGAUGCAGAACGGUUUCGAAAAGAAAUCGUUCACCCGAACGAUCGAAUCGAUGUUGCUAUAUAAAACAAUGAUCCACCCACGGAAGACCGGGCCAAGACCAAACGCAGUGAAAACCGACAUCAGAUACUGAUGCUCAACCCUUUCAAAAGCUUUAGACUGGUCUAAAUUUAUCAAAGCCCCACCCUUGCCAUGAAUCUUCUUAACCCUCUAUAAGGUAUAGUGUAUAAGGUGGAGAUUUCCUGUAUGGACCUGCCGGGAAUGGCGCAAGUUUGCGCCUCCCCGAUGAGUCCAUACACGACACACGCCAACCUUUUUGAUAGUACGUUGGCCAAAAUCUUCAACUCUGCGUUAAACAGAGUGAUGGGCCGAAAAUGAUCUACUAUAUUCCCCUUGUUAGCACAACCCCGCCGGCUGACAGAUCUAGGUAUAAACCCAUUCUCCUGCCAGUUGGUGUAGACGCAUGCUAGUAGCUGUGAUCGGUGGAGAAGUCCACGAAGUCCUCCCUACGCUCCGGUCCACGAAUAGCUCGUGAAAAACCUUGCACCUCUCCUCGGGUUCGUUUACCGUACGCUCUUGUUGAUCCGUCAAAGACCUUAUUGUGGCAUCAUUGCCACAGUGGGUCUCCUUCACACAGGCCCAUCGGGCGGCGUUGACUCCCUCUCGUCCCAUUGCACGAAGCUUAGCUCUAACGAUGUAUCCAUCGUGUAUAGCCUUAAGGUGUUGACUGAGUGCCAAUCUCGCGGCCAAAACUUGGGACACACUGCCAGUCCUCAAUGUCUCUUCUAGAGCCUUAACUAGGCCCCUUUCUAUUCUAUACGUCUUCCCUACUAGCUCCUUACUGAACUUAAUAGACUCAAACUUGAGGGCACACCACCAUAUGUUGUUAAUAACAGAUGCGGUUAGUGUCCUCAUUACUAAUUGCCUAAUCUGACUUCUGUACACUUCACAAGCCAGAAGCGACUUUCCAGUAGUCGGAUCCCUGUGUACAUAACCUAUCUAAGUCAAACCUACAGGUCAUAAGUUUGUGAUCACUGUAGCUGACCAAGUGGAAUUGUGGAAAACUGUCUUUAUCUUUACGUCUAACUAUAAUCCUAAGUAAGAUCUAGAAGACCCAUCACUGUUAACCCGUGCCCACCCUGGAGCAUAAGGGAAUUCUGGUAUGUAUCAAUCUUCCGGCUGAAAGCGACUGAGCAGAUCGUUGAGGCAUGAGUUUCCCCCACUAUCUGAGUUCGAGCCAACAUAAACUAUGCGUGCAUCUCCUAACAACACUAAAGUUUGUGACGUUCCUGAAAAAUUCUCUACGCCUCGAAAAAAGUCUGAUUGCACACCUCUACAGGGAGCAUAGAGAGUUACCAAUCUGAAUGCUGUGCGUCAUAUAAACGACGAAUAGCCUGCCCUCCGGAUCAACAAAGAUUGUCCUUAACUGUAGUUUCAAAUCCUUCCUGAGUAGGACCACGACACCUCCCCCCACUCCAGGAUGGCAAGAAGAAAUAAAUUUCUCGUAGCCGUUUAGGAGUGGGGAGAAAGCCUGCAGUUCACUCUGUCUGGUUUCUGUAGUAAUGAAACGAUCUAAACUGUACGUUAAGGAGGUGACCUUGUUUCCAAUCCCAAACCACGUACAUUUAUGCAGCCUACCUUAAGAGAACAGAAAAAAGAUUUCUUACCUAGUGGUGGGAAUGUGUCUGCGGGGAGCAGGGUAGGGAUCAGUGACUAUGGGGUAGGGUGGGGACUAAUGUAUGUGGGUGCAGGAUGGAGGUUCUUUCUUUCCAAACAAUGAUCCACUCGUCGUCUUUUGUUUGGUUUUCUUUCUUCUUCAUUUUGUUCGUCUCCACCUGGGUCUUUGCUGCUGCUGGUGUCGCCGGAUCUUUUUUUCGAGUUUGGCUUGUUUUUUUACGGUAAAGUACUGUUUGUUGUAAUUAUUGUUGAAUUAUUGUUGAACUGAUUUUGUUACCGUGUUGUUAAAACACUUUAUUAAUUCUGCGUUGUUGCAGACACGUUAACGUUUCCCUACUUGUUUGAAAGGGGAAAAUAUCUAAUUGUGUAUUGUUCUAUACAUAUAAAAAAAAUUAUGAUAUUCUCGGACUUAAGUUCUACUGACGUCGAAUCCUCCAGGGAGGAAUUAACUCAGUGUGUCAAAAUUUUGGACAAAAUUAUACAAAAGGAAAACGACAGUACGACAGAAACCAAAACAAUUUUGACUCGAUGAUUAGCGUCACAAGAGAAAAGAUGUCCAUCGAAACGAAUCAAAUUGAUAAAUUCAAAGGUCUUCCACGUAAGGAGGGGCACGAAAUUAAAAUACCCCCUCCGAGCAAAUUGUACCAUACAAAUUCCCAUAAAACAGUGAUUUUUUAAAACCGUCUCUAAGAAAAAUAAAAGGUGACGAAAGAACAGGUGGAAAAGUGUCUGAGGCCCAUCUGGCAGGAUAUAGUAUAUCUUGCAAGGGAAAAACGUUUUGCAACGACGGAGGCUCGGUUCUCAUCCGAAGCUAUUGCCAGGCAACAAUCUACGACCCAGCUGAAAUCUAACGAAGUGGUCCUGUUACCUACGUACCUGGUUAGACGUACUUCCAAGGUUAAGGUGGGAGAGAUCCACCAGAGGUUGACGUUGCCUUCCUCGUGGCGACAAUCACCUUAUUGGCCUAACUCUCUGGUCUCACACACUAUCAAAGUCCUUGAGACUGACUUACUGACUGACUCCCAGCAUAGCUUUCGAGCAGGUAGAAGCCACCUGACACAAAUAACAAUCCUCCAAGCAACUAAAAUCAAACAACAGAACUGGCAGGACUAAGAAAUGCUAAUCCAGGCUGCCCCUGCAUACCUCAAGGAGAUUGUCGACACCAUACUGGUAGGCGACGACACCAAUCUAAAGGUUAUGGUGGAGGGUAGAAAGUCUUGUUGUUUUAAGUGUGGCCCAAGGGCCACAUAAGAGCAGAGUGCCCUCCACCUAAACCACAAGAAAAACCACCAGUAGGGAAAGCAGCCGCACCUCCAGCGGUAAAAGCACAAUUGAAGAAAGAUGAUUGUUAUUACAAGAAGGUAGGCUGCGAUUGGCCGACAAAGGAAAGGCAGUUCCACAGUUUGAUGUUGGUAUUUCAGUGACAUCAAUUACUUGGAAAAUAUCGCAUGGUGAACAAAAAACCGACCAUGUGGUGGACAGGAAAUUGGUCACGUGGUUGGAUGGGAAGUAGGAAGGUGCGGUGUGAUACGUAGAUGUGGGAGUAUAUACAUAUAUGUGUCUAUGUGCUCAUAUAUCUGUGCUUGUGCGUCUGUAUUUAUGCGAGUGUGUGUAUGUGUGCAUAGGUGUACAUACACACAUCCACACACACACACACACAUGCACAUACGAAGGACGUUCAAUAAACAAUACCCCUGACCAACCUGCAAUUGUUUGAUCUAGCUGAAAUUUUGCAUGUGCAAUUAUUCAUAUCUCUAUAGAUUAAGUGGCAAAUUACAGCUCUGAACUAAUUGUGGUUUCUGAUUUACAGGUGUUUGAACUGAGUCAAGUGUGAAAUGGAGCCAGUUGAGUGUCGAGCAGUGAUCCGGUUUUUGUAUUUGAAAGGACGCAUACUACGGGAGACUUUUGAUGAAAUGAAAGUAACUUAUGGUGAUGAUGCCCCAUCAUAUGACCUUGUAAAACGCUGGCAUCAUGAAUUCAAACAUGGUCGAAACUCUGUGGAAAUAGCUCCCAGAUCUGGUCGCCCCCUUUCUGCCAUUGAUGAGGCAUCUGUCCGUCAAGUUGAGGCUGCCAUUUUGGAAGAUCGACGCAUAACUAUUCGCCAAAUAGCCCAUGAGGUCAAGAUUAGUACCGGGUCUGUGGAAACUAUCAUUGAUGACCAUUUGCAUAUGCAAAAGGUGUCUGCCAGAUGGAUUCCCAGGUUGCUCACACCUUUCCAGAAGCAAGAACGCGUCGAGUGCUCAAGGAUGAAUUUGGAGAUGUGCCAAGAAGAUGAGUCAAAAGUUUUCAAAAGACUGAUUACACAGGAUGAAACCUGGGUCCAUCACUAUGAUCCAGAGACCAAAGCCCAGUCAAUGCAGUGGAAGUACCGUGACUCACCUCCUCCAAUGAAGGCAAGGGUGCAGCCCUCCGCUGGCAAGGUCAUGCUCACAGUCUUCUGGGACCAGGACGGAGUAGUGAUGACAGAUUUCCUGGCAAAGGGUACCACAAUUGCAGGAGCCUAUUAUGCUUCACUUUUGAGGAAAUUAAGAGAAGCUAUCAAAAUCAAGAGGCGGGGCAAGAUCAGCAAAGGCAUCUUCCUCCUGCAGGACAACGCUCCGGUCCACAACUCGCUUGUCGCCAGAUCAGAAGCACAGGCGUGCGGCUAUGAACUCCUCCCCCAUCCUCCCUAUUCUCCUGAUCUUGCAUCCUCUGAUUUUCACCUCUUCCCAGCCAUGAAGUUGUUUUUGAAAGGAAAGCAUUUCCCGGAUGAUGCAGCCUUGAUGAUGCAGUCACGUCGUGGUUGGAGGACCAAGCUGGGGUCUUCUACAAAAACGGUCUCCAGAGCUGUAUCAAACGAUGGGAGAAAUGCGUAACUCUGGAUGUUUCCUAUGUAGAAAAAAACUAAUAACUGUGCCAAGUUUCGUUGCUCUACUGCUAUGAGAAGUGGGUCAGAGGCAUUACUUAUUGAACGCCACUCUUACAUAUUCGAAUGUAUGUGUGUAUGAGCCUGCGUGUGCGUGUAUAGCUGUGCAUGUAUAUAUGUACACACACAUACACAUACACACACACACACACACACACACAGAUAUAUAUAUAUAUUUAUAUAGAAGGGAUACAGGGUUGACUCAAUGAGACUCCAGCGCAGUCGUGAUCGAAUGGCUCUGCGGUAUCGAGAAUAAACCAGCCUGCAGAUUCACACGGUUCGACAUUAUUGACUUCUACCCUUUCAUAACUAAGUCCCUCCUUUUGAAGGUCCUAAGUUUUGUUGAGUAACACACCAACAUUAGUGAUCUUGAUAUCAGAAUCAUUAUGAAUGCCAGAAAGUCAAUACUGGUCCACGGCUAUUCCUUCUGGGUGAAAAGAGCAGUGGAUUCAUUGUUCGAUGUCUCUAUGGGGAGCUUUGACGGGGCUGAUAUCGCUGACUUUUUCGAGUUAUACAUUUUGGACACCCUCAAGAGUUGGCUCUCUAUAGGGACGCCGGGAUAUGAACGGCCGCCCCUUAGACAGGUUCAGGAAGGACUUAAUAAAAUAUCCAAGGAUUUCGGCCUCUCCAUAACGGUUAGUACCAAUCUGACUACGAUCGAUUUCUUGGACGUAAUCUUAGACCUGAACACGGGCUCGUAUUACCCCUAUAGGAAUACUAACGAAGAGCUCAACCCCAUUUUCCCGAUCUAAUUUGGAAGCUGGUUUCAGGUAUUAGCAAACGAGCAUCUAAUCUUUCAGCCAACAGGCAGAUCUUUAAUAGGGCCACCCCAACUACACCGAGCAGGUUUACUGAGAAGCUGACGUAUAUGAAUGUUCCCCAAACACCCUCUCCUAACUCCAUAACGAUUAGGUAUAGGAAAAUUAUGUUUUUUUUUUCCCACUUUCAAACCAGAAGUUUCUACCAACGUAGCUAGGGGCUUCCUGUCGUUAAUUAAGAAACAUUUCCUCAGAGGCCAUAAGUAUUACAAACUUUUCAAUAUGUAUGUAUGUAUGUAUGUAUGUAUGUAUCUAUGUAUGUUGAUUGUAUGUAUGAUUGUAUGUAUGUACGUACGUACGUACUAUAUCUCUAUUUAUAGGACGCGUCUGAAUUUUGAAACUGGAAUAAAAAGAUAGUUAAUACAUACGUAUAGGUAAAUUACUUAUUAAGCACAGAAAUAGCUAAGCGUAGGAAAGCCCGUAUUAAAACUGCUGCCUUAGAUAUUCUUACUGAUAAAUGGCAAGAAAAAUCUCUCAAUGGCAAAUACUCAAAGAAAGAUAGUAAUGCCGAUGUUAACAACGGCCUUACCCAUCAAUGGUUAGCGUCUUCUAGCUUAAAAUCAGAGACAGAAGGUUUUAUCAUAGCAUCCCAGGAUCAGUGCCUACCUACAAGACGUUACAGGGCCAACAUCUUAAAGAACGACAGUAGCACAAACUGUCGUGUAGCACAAACAACAGGCUGGAACCAUCGAUCAUGCUGUUUCUAUGUGCAGCCUUCUUGCACCUACAGAGUAUCUUAACAGGCAUGAUAGAGCAGCACAGUAUAUUUACAGUGUAUUUUGAAAAGACCUGGAUCUGCCCCAAGAUAAAAACCAGUGGGAACAUAAACCACCUCCAGUGCUUGAAAAUGAUCACAUCUCGCUCCUUUGGAACUUUACUGUUCAAACUGACAGAAAGAUAGCUGCAAAUUGGCCAGACAUUAUAUUGAGGGAUUUCAGACAAAAACCAUGCCUCCUCAGCGAUAAAACUGUCCCAAUCGGCAUAAAUGUAUCUGUCAGGAGCUACCAAACACCGAAUAAAUAUGAAGACCUUACAAUAGAAAUUGGCAAAAUGUGGACGCUCAGGACUAAAACAAUACUUGUCAUAGUUACUCUUAGAAUGAUAGCAAAAGGGGCCAGCUACCGAAGAUAUCAGGAAAUCCAAAAUUGAAAGGAAUUAAAGAGGAUAAUGCUCAUGGGAACUGCUCAUAUCCUAUGAAAAAUAUUGCCUAUAUAAUUCUCCAAAAUUUUAUCCUGUAAACAUUGUCAAAAGUACUUUUAAAUGUACAUAAUAGCAAAACCACCUUUUAUCGUCAUCUUAAAAUCUUAUAACAAAAUUACUUUUAAAACAAACUUCUAAUUUUCUUGUUUCCACAGACAUUCUCCAGAACAAUACUCUGUGCAAACC